rnacentral:lncRNA from 1 species
GUGGUGAUGGUGGUGGAGGUGGUGGGGACUUGUACUUGUAAGGGUGCUUGGGUGGUGAUGGUGGUGGAGGUGGUGGAGACUUGUACUUGUAAGGGUGCUUGGGUGGUGAUGGUGGUGGAGGUGGUGGAGACUUAUACUUGUAAACUGGAGAUGGUGGGGGUGGAGACUUGUACUUGUAAGGGUGCUUGGGUGGUGAUGGUGGUGGUGGUGGGGACUUGUACUUGUAAGGAUGCUUGGGUGGUGAUGGUGGUGGAGGUGGAGGAGACUUGUACUUGUAAGGAUGCUUGGGUGGUGAUGGUGGAGGAGGUGGUGGAGACUUAUAGUUGUAAACAGGAGUUGGUGGGGGAGGAGAUUUGUACUUGUAAGGCUUCUUGUGUGGUGGUGGUGGUGGAGAGUAGACCGGAGGAGGCGGUGGUGGAGACUUGUAAUGGUAAGGUGGUGGUGGGUACUUCUUAGGUGGUGGUGGAGGAGAAGAAUAAGUGUAAUCUGCUGAGGUUUCAAAAGGCAAAUUGAGAGACACUGCUAAAACUAAAAGAGUGAGAAAGAGAGAGGUCAUUGAUGACCCCAUUUUCCCCAUCCUUACUUCUAAAAAUGGGUUUAAUUUGGUUAUGCUCUUAGCAGCCCUCUUCACUCCCUUUAUAUAGACUUUGUUUUAAAGUUACAAUCAUGAUAAAAGUGUGAAGGUGGACCGAACCUUCAGCAGCAUUGAAAAAAGACGUUACGUUUAGGUUAUUAGCAUGGUAUGACAUAAUAAUUCUCUAUUCUCUUCCUUGUCGUUUCCCAUAAAUUUAAUUUAAAUAGUCCAUUUGCUAUAUUUAUAUUUCUGUUUCUCUAUUAAAUAUUUAUCAAAUUCAUUUCUCACUCCUUAUAGAAUAUGAAUAAUUAAUCAUUAAACUCGAUUUAGUAAAUACUUUAAAAAAUGAUUUAUCUUAUUUUUAUGCUUUAAUUAAGGCAUCAAAUCAUUAAUCCCAUUUGAUAUUAUGAAAAUUUAUCACUUAAUUGAUCAAAAUGUGAUUCUUGGCAGGAAAACAUAAUUUACUUUCCUUAAAAUGUAAUUUUUAUUGAGAGUUAUUUUUCCACUAACAAUAGAAAGUGAUUCUCUUUAUAAUUCGUGAAAAAAUUACUUUCACAUGUAAAUAAAAAUUGUUAGGAUAAAAUUAACUUUUCUUUUAUUUAUGUUAAGGUUACUAAUUAACUUAUUCAACUUUAAUAAAAGAUAAACAUAGUUGUAGCUUGUUUGUUGAUGUUAGUUUUUUGUCUUUACAACUUCAAACCAUUAUUCUAGUGUAAUUUUUUUUUCUUUCUAAAUAGUAGAUAAGUAUCUAUAUUUUAUUUUGCUAUAAGAAAAUUAUAUUUUUUAGCAUACAAAACUUAAGAUAACUUGUAGAAUCAAGUAGUUGUAUACCUAUUACUCUAGCAAUAAUAAUAUUGACAUUGUCUACUUUCAAAUUAAAAUUUCAAAUUAGUUCAUUGCCCAAUUUUCUCAUUAAAAAAAAUUAUAUAUAACAUGUCAACUUAACGAAACUUACAUGAAAUUUUGUAUGUGUUAAAAAUGAAAAAUAUGGCGGUUAUUAAAAAAGAUGUCAUACAUCUAAAUCAAACUACUAAUUUAAAAAUUAGUAUUGAGAUAAUUUCAAGCCAUAUAUGCAAUAUUUGAGUAUACUUGAACUUAUACAUACAAAUUAGUGAGGAUUAAAAUUUUGUAAAUUGUACAUCUUCACAAUCUUGCGUUAAUAUACAAUUUUUUUAAUGUAUUAAUAUAAUGUUUUAGAUCAAGACGUGAAAAAACAUAAUUCAAAUAUUUGUUAAUAGUAAAAAAUUAUUAAUAAAUAUUUAAUUCAAAAUUUAUUAAUAAUAAAAAUUAUUGAAAAAUAUUAAAUACGUUAAUAUUAUUUUUAUUUAAUAAUGAUACUUUUGUACAGUAAUCUUAUAUUCCCAAAUAAGUGUUAAAUGUGUCAAGAUUUUAAUCAAUACUUUCCGGUGAUUACCAAACGUUGUGAAGUAACUUCUUAAACAAUAAUAUUCUUAUCAAUCACAUUCCAUUAAAAUUUUAACAUAGAAAAGCACCAAAACGCCCCCUUAAAAUCGUGGUAAGUCUUGUUUGUCUAAAAUUUAAAUAUUUAUUUUAUUAUUUAAAAUAUAUUAAUUUUCUAAAAAAAAUCAUUAAUAUUUAUAUUUCUAAUUUUAAACAUUCUUUUGUUAAUUAAAUGAUAGUCUAAACGGUUAAACUCAAAUCGAAAGCAUUUUAUCUUAUAUUAGAUUAUAUGAAUCAUAUUAUGGUUGAAAGUAAAAUGUAUAAAAUCAAUACAAACAUCAAAUAUUAAACUUCCACUCAAUAGAUUUUAAAAUUUCUAAUUUUAUCACUAAUCUAUUUUAAGAUUUUUUUAAAAAAAAUCGUACUUUAGAUUAUCUAAUUUAAAAUUUUAUAAAAUUAUUAAAAAAUAUUCUUGUAAUAAAAAAAAUUUGUUUUAAAAUUUUUAAUUUUUUAUAUAACCAAUGAAUUUUUUACGUUUGUUUUAACUGGUUAUCUAAACAAAAUAAAAACUUAUUUAGUUUAAAUAAAGUGGUAAAUGUGAAAGCACCACAAAUCACAACUACAUUAGUUUUAUAAUUGGAUUAAUUUAAUCACCGGCAGAGGAAAUGUGUUAGUUCUAGCUACCAACAAUUCAUUUUAAUUCCUUUAAAAAUAUUAGAAAAAACCAAUUUGAUUUUUAAUAAUAGAUCUAAUUACUUAAAGGAACAUGGGUGAUGUGCACAUGGCAUACAAGCAUAAAAAAGAACAAAAAGAUUAAGUAUCUUUGCAAAAUAUCUCUCUCUGAAAUAAAUAAAACUUAAAAAAAAACAAUUUUAUUAUCAAAAUAAAAAGAAAAUAGUGUUUUUCUUCACAAAAAAAGAAAAGAAAAGAAAUACUAGUGUUUUUAAUUAAAAUAGAGUGAUCUGGGUAGAAUCUUUUACUUAAAUACUGACAUUGACUUUAUAAGCUAUUUUUUAUCAAAAGAAGAAAGAGAAAAGCAUCCGAUUGAAGAUGUGAAUUAUUAAGUUAAAAUUAAUCAUACAUGUAAAAUAUUAUUGUGCUUUUUUCUAGCCCUCCGAAAGACAUUAUGCUUUGAUUACAACAUUCUUCCUCAGAGAUGAGGUUUGAAGAUGAACUCGGAUGCAUUUAGAUUUUUACAAGACGAAAGUAAAUUAAAGGAUGUUAGUACUUGUAUUCCGAUACGCUUAUAAUACAGAAAGCAAGUAAUAUGUGACUGUACAUAAUGGCUAUGAGGCGAGGAUAUGAUACGAGAAGAUAGAGAUGAGAGAUUGCACUUAAGGGGUUAGCACCUCUUUUCUUUUUGUGUUUGGUCCCCAAAGCAUAUCUCUUAUUGGCUGAUGUUGCAAGGCGGUCCCAUAAGUUGGGCUAAAAGUGCUUGAUAGCUAGAAUUAAUAUUGUGGUAUAACAUAUGUCACCCCUAUAUUUGAAUAAGGUUACAAAGUGACUACUUGAAGAUUUAAAAAAGCAUGGAGAUAAUUUUGUUGCGAAAAUUAAAAGUAAGAGCUAAAUUGUUUGGCUUUAUUAGAGUAUAGACUCUGUUAGUCUAUUAUCAUUUUGUUAUAUAGGCUGGAAUAUUAUUAGUAAGCAGUUAGCAGCAGUUAGUCAUACAAGUAUAAAUUCUAUUCAUGUAUUGUUCAAAGAUAAGCUAAUAAUACCAGAAGAGAUUUAACAUGUUCAUUCUACUUUUUUUUGUUAUUCUUCAUAAUACAGUUGUUAACAUGGUCUCAGUCGCCAAAUUUCUUGGAGGUUGCUUCUAUUGUAGAUCCAUGGCCAAUUCCACUGAUUCUACCUUCGCUGGUCGUAGCAGUCCCUCAUUCUCAGUUCAUGUUUGGUUCAAUCGUUUCCUCGUCAUGGCACUGUGAAGUUAGAUGAAGGAAAUUUUGUACAAUGGCAACAGCAUAUCCAAUUGAUAAUUGAAGGAUAUGAACUCAUAAGAUUUUUAGAAGGGACGUUACCUGCUCCGCCUCGCUUUGUGUCAUCUCCGGAUGGAAACUUAGCUCUGACUCCCGAUGCAUCCCUGUUUGUUCAGCAAGAUAAGUUACUCGCUUAUUGGUUACUUUUUACGAUUAGUGCUCCUUUGUUUUCUUGUUUUACAACUGCUAAGACGGCGUGUGAGGUUUGGAGCACUGCGAAUUGCCUAUUUGCUGCUGCCACUAGAGCCAAGCUUUCGCGUAUUAAGCAUGAACUCCAGUCCAUCACGAAAGGCGUGAUGACUAUCAAAGAGUAUAUUGCUAAGAUUCAAAAUACUUGUGCGUUACUCGAGGAAUCUAGAUCAGUGGUUUUAAAGGCUGAAAAGGUAGAGAUCAUUCUUGCCGGCCUAUUGUCUGAUUAUGAUGUCGUUUUAACUCUGGCAUCGUUCUCAACUGAAACUUUUUCGUUAUAAAAGAUUGUUGAUAUGCUUCUGGAGUUCGAAAGCCAUCAGACUCAAGCGGUGAACGACGUACCUUUUCAUGCUCAUUUGGUAGAGGCCACUUCGGCGACAUCCGUGGAGGACUCCGUACGUGGUGGUCGUCCUCCUUCUGGUGCUCGUAGGCGCGACUUUCGAUCUCAGCUUCAGUGCCAGGACUAUGGUUGCUAUGGACAUUUGGUACAAUGCUGUUAUUAUCAGUUCAACCGCGACUACAGUGAUCUGUCUGUUUUGACCAUGGCGCGGGUUUCGCCUGUUCAUGCUGAUCACAAUUAGCAUAACGAUGUUUUUGGCGCAAGUGGUCUCUCGACUAGCUGGUUUUCAUCAACUUGUCCUGGUCCGGACCCGUUCGUGCCUGGACAGUAUGUCGAUUCUUUGGUGGUGACACCGGCGUAUUUCUCUUAUGGCUCAUCAUGGUGAGGGUGGCCACAUUUGCAAAACAAUGCCUCCCUUGUGCCAAGUUUGUUGAAUGUUAAGGUUUCUAACCCUUUUGCUCAUAAUUUUGACGAUGGGGCAGGCUAGGUGUUUGGGCUCGCUGUUGGACCAAGCUCAAAUUGUGGCCAAUUUGGUGGUCCUCACUUACCGCGGAGAAUGGGCCAGCACGUUAGGCCAUUUGCUAGUGUUCCUAGGCCGACUGGUUCAGGCCAAGAUUUUGGGCCAUAUGGAAUUCGUAGGCUAACCAGUGCUGGUCCUAACAUUGGACAGGGUUCACUUGGGCCAAAUGUUAAUUUUGUUAGACUUGAGGGCUCUUUUGGGCAUGGACAAGGACUUUGGCCCACCACUGGCAAUGUUUCAGUGCCAAAUAAUGGGUCAUGCGUUCCAUGGCGCACUAAACUGACGGCGCACAUUAUUGAUUGAUUUCUCACUGUGUGUUGGGUUGCCUCACAUUCUUGAUUUUCAUGUGUCUGAUAUUUUUACUACCUCUGGGUCCAAUGCUAACACGACUCCGUAUGGGUCUAAUUUUGAUAAUGAUAACUCUUACAUUCCUAUGCCUGUAGGGACCUUGUCCUGGUGUCUUAAUUCAGGGUCUAUACAUCAUGUCUAUCGAGAAGCCUCUACCUUGAACGAGUCUACGCCAUACUCAGGUACAUCUCCUCUCCUCAUGGAUGAUAUUACUCCUACAAAAAUAUCAUGUGUUGGAAACUCUAUCUUGCCUACGAAGACUAAGCUGUUUCAUCUAUCUAAUGUUUUGUGUGUGCCAAAUAUACGGAAGAAUCUGCUAUCUGUCUCUCAAUUUGCUAAUGACAAUAAUAUGGUCUUUGAAUUUCACCCGUCUUAUUGAGGACAUCCAGACUCAGGAAAUUUUGCUUCGGGGCCACACUCGUGAUGGGCUCUAUUAUUUUUCGUAGGUUACUCAUGUUCCGUCUGUCGUUGUUCCUUCUGUUCACAACACUGGGCUCCAGAGUCGCAAUGCCGGUGAUGAUGUUUUUACGUUAUGGCACUACAGACUUGGUCAUCCGUCUGCCUCGAUUGUUAAACUUGUUCUCGAUAAGUGUCAAGUUGUUUCAACUAAAAUGUACCUUGAAAAUAUUUGUAUUGCUUGUCAAAAGGGGAAGUCCCAUAAACUGUCUUUUUCAAGUUCUACUACUAAAUAUACGGAUUUGUUUGAAUUGGUUGUCUUUGACUUAUGUGGACUGGCAUCUGUUGUCUGUAGAAAUAAUCUGUAUCAUGUUUCGUUUAUCGACAUGUGUAGUUAUUUUACUUGGAUUUAUCUCAUUAAACGUAAUUCUAAGGAGGUUGAAUGUUUUCUUCAGUUUCAGAAAAUGGUCAAAACUCAGUUUGGGAAAGAUAUUAAAAAAAUUCAAAGUGAUUGGGGUGGUGAGUUUCUUGCCUUUACGUCAGUUCUGGCUAGUCAUGGGAUACUUCAUCACCUCUCCUGUCCAUAUACAUCCGAGUAGAACGAUGUAGCUGAACGAAAACAUCGACACAUUGUUGAGAUGAGUCUUAUUCUAUUGGCCAAAGCUAACCUAUCCAUGGAUUUCUGUGGUUUCGUAUUUUACAAUGCCAUUCAUCUCAUUAGUCUUCUACCGACCCUAGUUCUGAAAGGUCAGUCUCCAUAUCAGGUUCUUCAUGGUAGUGACCCUACAUAUGAUCAUUUACAAGUAUUUAAGUGUUGUUGAUUUUCGUACCUGCGUCUGUUUCUGCAACACAAGUUGGAUUUUCAUUCUCAGCCAUGCAUAUUUUUUAGGUAUAGUUCUCAACAUAAAGGCUAUCACUGCCUCACACCAAAUGGUAAGGUCAUUGUCUCUCGUCAUGUUGUGUUUGAUGAACGUUGGUUUUUCUUUUCUUCAAAUGCUGUGAACACCGUUCAGUUAAGUCCAUGUAUCUCUACAUAUGUUCCUAUUGUUCGGUCUUCAUCUUGCCGCCCCACGACAUCUUCGCUUGUUCGACCCACUGAGUCAUCGACUCUUGCUCCUAAUUGUAGUUCCACGCUGUCUGUUUCAGUUGACACUCCGGCUGAAUUAGGUUUUACUCAUGAGGUGCAUCGGCUCUCUACCUCAUCCCUUGAAUCUCGUCAAUGCGAUCCAACUACAAUUCCAUUGGCUGUUCCAUCUAUUUCUCUGGAAUACUCAUAACACUAUUACUCAGCUAGACCCAAAGCUCUGUCUGUUGAAAUUGUCAACUGUGAGUCGAUCACGAUUGAAGAGGCGCUCGCUAGUAAGGAAUGGCAAUUAGUUGUCCAAGCUGAGUUUGUUGCUAUAAUGGUUAACUCCACUUGGGAGCUUGUUCCCUUACCUCAUGGUCGAAAAGUGAUUAGGUGUAAGUGGCUUUUUAAAAUAAAAAAAUCCUGAUGGGACUAUCACUUGACGUAAGGCUCGGUUGGAAGCAAAGGGUUGUUCUCAGGUACUCAGGUGUGAUUUCAAGGAAACCUUUAGUUUGGUAGUUAAACCUGCUACUAUUAGAACCAUAUUAUCUGUUGCUAUCUCCAACGGUUGGCAAUUUGGUCAGGUAGAUGUGAACAAUGCUUUUUUAAAUGGUGAUCUUAUUGACGAAGUGUUCAUGCAGCAACCUCUAGGCUAUGUUCAGAUUGGUCAAAAUGGUGAGCCCUUGGUGUAUCAUUUGACAAAGGUGUUGUACAGAUUAAGACAAGCUCCACGUGCUUGGUUUGAUAAAUUGAAACGUUUUUUUGUUUCUAUUGGAUUUGCUUUAUCCAAAUCUGAUGUAUCCUUAUUUGUUCAAGUUAAUUCGAAUCCACUAUUUAUGUUUUAGUCUAUAUGGAUGAUAUUAUCGUUACUAGAAGUACGAUCGACGGUAUAAAUGGCUGUAUUCAAUAGUUACAUAAUGUGUUUCCCUUAAAGAUAUGGGAGAUCUUUACUACUUCUUAGGCAUUGAAGUCACUCGGUAGUCCACUGGGAGUCUCCAUUUGUGCCAACGCAAAUACAUUCGGGAUCUUCUUGACAGUAGUUUUUUAGCUAAUGCAAAGAGUGUUCACACACCGAUGGUUAGUUCUUUUACGUUGUUUAAAGAUGUGGGAGAUCGCCUCGUUGAUCCUACUGGAUAUAGAAGUCUUGUCGGUGUAUUACAAUAUGUGGUCUUGACUCUGCCUGAUAUUGCUUAUGCUAUAAAUCAUGUUUGUCAAUUCAUGCAUGCCCCUACUACAGUACAUUUGGUGGCUUUGAAAAGAAUCUUGCACUAUUUAUGUGACACUAUUAAUCAUGGGUUAAUUUUGUCUGUUCAACAUAUUGUCUUUAGUUGGCUAUGCUAAUGCCAACUGGGGACUGGAUUUUGAUGAUCGUAAAUCAACAACAAGCUAUUGUUUGUAUUUUGGGUAUACACCCAUCUCUUGGUGAUCUAAGAGACAACUCUACUGCGUGAGGCGAAGUAUUUUGGCCGCACCAUGGCUGAGGUGAAGUAUCGAAGUCUAGCAACAACUACCAGUGAUGUUACUUGGUUAGUCUCUCUACUAACAAAAUUACAGAUUCAUUCUAUAGAUCCACAUACUAUUUGGCGUGACAACUCUAAUGCAGUAGCGGUCAUUGCUAAUCCGGUCUGACACUCUAAAUUUAAACAUGCCAAGCUUGAUCUAUUUUUUGUUCGCGAAAAGGUCGCUAAUGGUUCUCUCGUUGUCGGUGAGAUUCUAGCAUGUGAUUAAGUUGCUGACAUUCUCACAAAACCACUGUUCGUCUCUACUUUUGCUAGGUUUCGUAGUCUGCUUCAAUUCUUACCUCUUGAGAAGCUGGGUGAAGCCAGGUGAAUAUUAGAGUAUAGACUCUGUUAGUCUGUUACCAUUUUGUUAUUCAGGCUGGAAUAUUGUUAGUAAGCAGUUAGUCAUAGCAGUUAGUCAUACAAUUAUAAAUUCUAUUCAUGUAUUGUUCAAAGGUAAGCUAAUAAUACCAAAAGAGAUUUAAUGUGCUCAUUCUACUUUCUUUGUUAUUCUUCAUAAUACAGUUGUUAACAUGCUUGAUAUCAUCUCUUAGAGAGAACGAGGAGAGAUAAGAGUAAGAGUAUGAGCCAACUAGGGAUAAGGCUCUACCAUAAUACCUUGGAUGCAAUUAAAGUAAGAGUAAGAGCCAACUUGUUUGGCUUGAUAGCAUCCCCUUAUAGAAAAGGCUCUACCGCAUGGCAUGAGAGCAAUAAAAGUAACACUCAAUUUCUUGGGUUGAUAGCAUCUCCUUAGGGAAAAGGGUUUACCAUGUGACAUGAAAGCAAUUAAAGUAAGAGUAAGAUCCAACUUGUUUGUCUUAAUAGCAUCAUUUAAGAGAAAUAUCCCAAUCAAUUUAUUCAAAUAUGUUAAUCAAAUAAUGCAAGUUACAAUGUUCUGUCAGUUUUUCCUUUAAUUGUAACUGGGUUAAAGUUGGUAGUUGUAACUGCUACUAAUAGAAUGGAUACGGUAGAAAUGGUUGCAAGCAACAUAAGCAAAGAUGACUUUAAUGUCUUUGUAUUGACCACGUGAGAACUAUAGAAUGCAGAGAAUAGUAUGGUGAUUGGCAACAGAAUGCUACUAACCUUGAGGAUAGUAGACAGGGAUGGAUCCACGGGGGUUGGGGGCGGUCCCCCCUUGGAAUUUUUAAAAUUUUAAAUUUUAUAUAUAAAUUAUCAUGUAUUUUAAAUUUGGUGUCCACAUUGUAUAGCAUUCACCCCCCUUUUCCAAAUUGCAUUUCAUAUCAUUUGCCCUCUUAAGCCAUAAGGUUAUACUUUAUAUUAACAAAGUAUUUUCCAUUUUUUAAUUAUAUAAAUUUAAUAAUAAUAAUAAUAAUCAAAUAUUAAUAUAUGAUUGGCAUUGAAAGACUAAACAUAAAGGUCCAGUUGAGACUUUAAAGCCAAAUUCCAUAAUUAAUUAAUUGAUUUGGCCCAUACCAGUACAUAUUAGGUUAGCGAAAUUCUUGUAUUUUGAUUUGUAUGUCUUGCUAAGGAAUUAUCUUCCUUUGGUAAGGUGUUGACACUGCCAAGAGAAAAAGAAAGGAUUUUGAUGUCGAGAUUGUGAGCAUAGAGUAAAAAAAAUACAAAUUAUCUUCCUCUUAGCUCCUUAUGGAAAAAACCUCUCGGUAAAUAUUUUUGCAUAAAUUAUGUUUUUUAUUAAUUUGACUUAGUUUUUUUCUUUUUUCCUAAUACAUUGUUGUUUAAUAUAUUCUUACAAUCAUCAGGUUUUUUGACUAAAUUAUGGUCAAUAAAAACAUCGAAUCUAUUUAAAAAAAAAGAGUGUCAGAAAGCAAUAAUGAUCAACCGGUUCCUCAACCUUCCAUUAUUAGUGAAGAAAAAUCAAAUAUCGGAUCUUCCAAAGCUCUUGAACAAAAUAUCAGGUCUUCUUAAGCCCAAGCUCCUAAAUGCGGUAUGGAGUCUUCCCCAACUCCUGAACGAGAUUGUAACAAUCCAUACCCAAUUCGAUCACCAAAUCCAAGUAGAGAGCGCCGCAACUUAAACCAUAUGAAUUGAAUAAUAAAUAUUUGAAAUUUAUUAAAGUAUCGAGUUCUUGGUGUAACCCUCAGUAUAACAAUACGAAACAAUUAAAUCAAUGAUACGCCAGGAAAAAAUGUUUUUAGGCAAAACACAUGGCGGAAGCCUUACAAAAUUUUAUAAGUUUAUAUAAAAUGUAAGAUGAGUUAAUCCCAUACAACAGUUUCAAGUGCAUCGUUGGCGGUUAAAAGAACAUUCAAAAACUAUUCGGCGUAUAUGCCAAUGAGACAAUCACGUGGAACAAGAUAUAGUAGCUUAAACACAUACAUCACUUACCACGUCAUCAUAACAUAUACUAACCAUAUAAACAAACUUAUCGAGCUGCGAACUAACAAGUUCACCCAAACAUCUAGGGUUAGCGAUAACUUAUUAGAAGAGCCCGCCAAACCCUAGAGUUCGCCAAAACCUGGAGUUCACCAAAUGGCGACUCCCAUAGAAUACGCCAAACACACAACCAAAAAUAAAUACUCUACUAAUUUACUCAUUUUAUAUUCUUAGCAUAAACAACUAUGCACCAAACAGUAACUUGAUACAUUAUCUUUCGGGCGAGUUGUUACAAUUCUCCCCCAUUUAGAAACUUUUGUCCUUGAAAUUCUUACCGGUGAAUAACUGAGGAUAUUGUUCUUUCAUCGAACUCUCUCUUUCCCAAAUGGCUUCUUUUGUAUUGUGAUUUAUCUAUAAUACAUUAACCAAAGGAAUUCUUUUACUUCUCAACUCUUUUACUUCCCUUGCUAAAAUACAAACAGGUUCUUCUUCAUAGGACAAGUUUUGCUCCACUUCCAGUGCUUUGACUUGUACCACAUAAUCUGGAUUGGAUUGAUAUUUUCUUAACAUAGAUAUAUUAAACACAUUAUGUAUAUUUGAUAACUCUGGUGGCAACACCAGUUUGUAUGCCACUGGACCAACUUAUUCCAAAAUCUCAUAUGGUUCUAUGAAAUGCAGACUUAAUUUCCCUUUUUGUUCAAACCUUAUGAUCUUCUUCCAAAGAGAAAACUUCAUAAAUGCAUUGUCACCCACUUCGAAAGAGAUUAUUUUCCUUUUUAGAUCAGCAUAAGCUUUCUGGCGAUCUUAAGUUACUUUCAGAUGAUUUCUAAUGAUAAAGACUUUCUCUUCUGUUUCUCAUACUAAAUCAAGACCAACUAUUUUCCUUUUACUGAGUCUCAUCCAAUAGGUAGGAGAUCUGCACCUUCGUCUAUACAAAGCUCCAAAUGGUAACAUUCCCAGACUGUCAUAAUAACUAUUAUUAUACGCAAACUCUAGCAAAGGAAGAUAUCUUUCUCAAUUCAUUCUAAAAUCUAUAAUACAACCUCUAAACAUGUCUUCUAGAACUUGAAAUACUCUUUCAAAUUGCUCAUCGAAUUAGGGAUGAAAGGUAGUACAGAAUCAUUAUUUCGUUCCCAACGAUUCUUGCAGUUGUCUCCAAAAUCUCAAUGUAAACAUUGGGUCUCGAUCUGAAACUAUGGAUGUUGGAAUCCCAUGAGGCGUACAACUUCAGAAACGUAGAGAUUAGCCAACUUUUCCAAUAAGUAAUUUGUGCGGACAAACAAGAUAUGGGCUAACUUAGUAAGUCGAUCUACAAUUACCUAGACUGAGUACUUCUUCGAAAGGAUGAGAGGGAGAGCCAAAACAAAAUCCAUGGUGAUCUUAUCCCACUUCCACAUAGAUAUCUCUAAAAGGUACAACUUGCCUAAGGGAACCUGAUGUUCUAUUUUAAUCUGCUGACAUGUCAAACAAAUGGAAAUGUACUUUGUUAUUUCUUUCUUCAUUUCAAGUCAGUAAUACAAACUUAUCAAAUUAUGAUACAUUUUAUGUAAAACUCUCAACCCAACUCGAAAUGUCGAGUCUGGAUCUCGGGUAUUACUAUACAUAAUACUUGGCAAAAUAUCAAAAUAGUUGACAAAUACUCUUUAUAGAAAACAUUUUCUUAUUAUUUUAACCAAAAGACUAAAUAUUUAAUAACAAGAGAAAAUAUUAAAAACAAAAAAAAAUUAUUACAUCAGACUUGGUACAACUCAUUAUAGUAUAAAAUUUUGUUAAAGACAUACUCUUGGGGCAUAACCCUAAUCUAAGCCACUUUUCCACUAUAUGCAUAAUAACCCACUUCGCCACUAUCUUGGCGUACUCCUAGCAUCGUCACUCCUAAUGCAUUCUCUACCCAUACACCUGAAAACAACAACAUUUUAAGCUUAAGAUAACUUAGUGACUUUUAUCCCAAAAAUACCUUGGCGAGUACUUUAUAUUAUUUGAAGAACAUUUGUGCGCCAUCUAUCCUUCUGAACCACCUUCUUCUGAAUUAAGUGGAUACUAUUAUAGAUUCAACUUUCACUUACACGCCAACUAUCAUACUCUUAACAAACUCACUUAUUCUAGAAUAGUUGUUCACAUAUAUUAAUCACUAAUUGAUACAUUCAUAUUUGGCGAAUACUUACGCAGAUCUGAAUACCAUCAAACUACUAAUCAAAUCAUACCUUGAUCCGAUACCAUACAAACUCAUACUGAUAAUGUACUACACAAAUUAUUCAAAUGAAUUUUCCACUACUUUGUUACAGGACCCCAGAUAAUCAUCAUAACAAUAACUCAAUUUUCAUAUGAUUUCAGAAGAAGAUAUAAUACAACCCAAAUACGGCAAAUUCCAGAUAACUCAGAUUCAACAACUGCUUAACACAUACGAACUCACAUUUAUAAUUUCUUAUGUCCCACAUAACUACGACUAUGUCUAUAUUCAACACUAACAAAUAAUCAUGACGGAUACCCUUCUUAUACAUAUAUGCAUUUCUUUUCUAGAAAUCUCUUAAGACUUACUCAAUUAUAUCACAUAUCUUAUUCAACCCUUAACUUUAGACAUAUCAUAACCCUAUCAUAUCAAUAUCUAUCACAAAAAAAAUCAGGAUUUAUCCAAAACUUACCAUAAAGGUAGAUAAUCAUAUUAUAUCAGACAAACUUAACUAAAUGUGCCACAAAGGCCAAACAAAAUAUGCCUUAAAGGCUUCAUACAAAAUCACGUGUUUACUAUCCCGACGGACUAUCACAAAAGGUGUCAUGGGUUUCUCCCACAUGGACUUAUACAUAAUUUCAUGUAUUGUGAUCUGCCAUUUUGAAUCAUACGUUAUCGAAGGAUACUCCAUAAGCAUACAUACAGACAUAUCUUGCCAUGUGUCUCAGCCACAUGGCUUAAACACACAUUCAUGUACUGUGAUAUGUCAAUCCAGUCUUACUCUUAUUAGAGCCUACACCAUGAGUGUUUUCAAAUCAUAUUAAGAUGUUGUAGGUCUCAACCUCAUAGUCUUACACUUGUUUUCAUAUCGUGACCUGCCAGUCUAGUUAGCAAUAUAAUUGCCUACCAGAGGCUUCAUAGAGGAACAUUUGCUUAGAUUCACUUACCUAGAUGAUCUGUAACACCCCUUACCCGAGACCGUUGUCAGAGUCGAGCACGAGGUAUUACUUAUCUUAUCUUACUAACUCGAAGCAUAAAAACUUGUUUUAAAAAUUAAUUUCACUAUUUAUAGCAAUUUGUCCAAUCGCGCAGCAGUUACUAAAUUAAUUAUAACUCGAGAUACGGAACUUGAAAUUUAACUCCGUAAAUUUUCCCUGAAACUAGACUCAUAUAUCUUCCUACCAUAAAAAUUUUAGGAUUUUUAGUUUAUCAAAUUAGUACAGUUUAUUAGUUAAAUUCUCCCCUGUUUCACAAAUCGACUGCCCUGACCUCUUAUCACUAAAAAUAAAAUGUAUCAUUGUGGGAUUUUCGUAUAGUGCUACCGCUUGCUUCUACAGAAAAUAGACUCAAUAAGGAAUCUAUACAUAUAAACUACAACUCAUAAAUAUUUUUUUAAAAUUUUUAAUGAUUUUAUAAACUCAAAACAGGGGUCACCAAAAACUGUUCUAACCCUGUCUCACCAAAAUUCACAUAUCUUAAAAUAUAAAUUCCUUUUGCUACACCGUUAUUUUUAUGUGAAAAUAGACUCAACAAGAUUUAUGUCAUUCAAUAUUUAAUUCAUUUUAUACUAUCCUAGGUGAUUUUUCAAAGUCACGUCACUGUUGCUGCCUGAAUUCUGUUUCUUUGCAAAAUUUUACCCUUUUAUGAUUUCCAUGCAUAGUUUAUCACUUAGACUCUUAUAACAACAAACACUUCCAUACUUAACCAUUUUAGCAACCAUUCAUCAUCAAAUACUUACACAUCAUUCUUUAGCAAGAUCAUAAAUACAAACAUUUAAAAUAACUAAAUCCCUUUACAUUCCAUACUCAACAUGGUUCAACAUAAAAAUACCGAGUUGCUGUGGUUGAUAGUGUGGACGAUCUCCGACUUCUUUAGGAUCCUUGAAGUAACCUUGCAAUACUAUAAGAGAAAGAGAAAUAAAAGACGUAAGCAUAAAGCUUAGUAAGUUUACUAGCAAAUAAAUAACAAUAUUUAACUAGAUAAUUAAACUCAAGUGUCUAUAUCUCUAGUUUACUAUUUAGUUAAUCUCAUUCUAGUUCUCUUGCUUGUUUACUUAGUAUACUUGUGUGCAUAACUUACUCCUCUCUUGCUGUAUAGUUGAAUAUCAAUUGAUAAUAUAAUAAGUUAUUAACUCUUAUAACUUACCUGAACUUGCCAUUUAUGUUUUUAACUGAACUUUCCUGAACAUGAUUCGUUAUUUAGCCCGUUGAGCUACAUUGGAACAAUAAGGAUACUCGGGUCUCUUCUGAUAAUAACAUGCCAAAGCCAUGUCCCAGACAUGGUCUUACAUGGGAUGUACUCAUGUCGGUGCCCAUUCCAUAUCCCAGACAUGGUCUUACGGGGGACCUCUCAUCUCGGUGCCAAUGCCAUGUCCCAGACAUGGUCUUACAUGGGACCUCUCAUCUCGGUGCCAACGCCAUGUCCCAGACAUGGUCUUACAUGGGACCUCUCAUCUCGGUGCCAACGCCAUGUCCCAGACAUGGUCUUACAUGGGACCUCUUUACCCAAAUGUCAUGACAUUCGUAUCCAGUACCAUCCUUACUAUUCAUGACAACCGAUAUAUAUAUAUACAUACUCACUAUUCACAAGGACUCGAACGAUUAUAUACUCAUCAACCACCUUAAAACAAUGUUCAUAAACUUAUCCAUUUCAUAUAAACAAAAGCAUAUAUAUUUAUAACCAAUGCAUAGAAUCACUUAAUUUAAACAGAUUCACUGGCACUUCACCUGAUAGGCUUAUAGUUUAAUUCAGUUCACCGGCACUUAGCCUACUAGGCUUGUAGCCUGAUUCAGUUCACCGGCACUUAGCCUGCUAGACGUAUAGUCCGAUUCAAUUCACCGGCAUUUAGCCUGCUAGACGUAUAGUCUGAUUCAAUUUACCGGCACUUAGCCUGCUAGACGUAUAGUCUGAAUAAUUUUACUGGUAAUAAAUCCGAUAGUAAUUUCUCCGUUGAAAUUGAAUUAUAUUCAAUUCUGCGUAACAAACAUGCACUUAAAACAUACUUGCAUAAUUCACAACAAUAAUUUCAGUCCAAAGAGCUGUAAUUCAUAUUCGAACUAUAUAUAUAUAAAUCCAUACAUAAAAAUUCAACUCAAAAUUUAUAACCUAUAUCUUUGAACCACAUAGGUACAUGAAAUUCAAACACCAAAAUCCAGCUCAAUAACUUCAUGAUUCAACCUAACAAAUUUAUGUAUAUAACUUUUUAUCUAAUUUCAAUACAAUAACUUAUACAUGUACGUAUAUACAUAUUCGAAUCUAACAUAUACAUAUAUAAUUUCAUACUUAAAUAUAUUCAAGACUUAUUCAUGAGUAUACAUAUAUAUUACAACUCACAUGUACAUAUAUAUACACAUUCAUACCUUUAACCAAGUCCAAGGCUUUAUACAUGUAUAUGCUUAUAUAUAUAUAUUCGGACCUUAUGUUUACAUAUAUAUAUUAUAUAAAUACCUUUGAUUAAAAACAAGUAUUUAUACAUAUAUAUAUUUUCGAACAUGAUACAUAUAUAUUUAUAUCAUUCAUACUUAAACAAAAUUCAAUCCAUAUACUUUCAAUUUCAGCUCACCAAAUUACUAUAGAUAUACAUGCAUAUAUACUGAUUUAAUAACCUCAAAUUGCUAAUAGACUUACCUCGGAUAUCAGCGGACACGAUCGAGUAUUCGAUUACUUUCGUUUUUCCCCGAUCCAAAUUCGUUUUCUUCGUUUUUUAUCUUAAUUAGACCUAGAGAUAGCCGAACCUUGUUGUUCUCUUUUCUUUUCUUUUCUUUUUCUUUUCUAUAUUCGGCCAAGAUGAAGAACAUGGCAUUUAAAAUUUGUUAUAUUAAACAUAUAUUAGCCUUAUUUUUAAUUUACUAUAUUAACCUUUACAUAUAUAUAACAUAUAUAAUAAGGUUACAUUAGUCCUUUGCCACCCACUAACUUACAUAGUGGACUAAUUGCAUAGUAAAACCUCUAAAUUAUAAAGACAACAAGAAUUAGGUCCUUUUAUAAUUAACCCCUAAAUUUUCAUUUUACGCGAUUAAGCCCUUUUAUUAAAUCGGACACUUAAACGACGAAAUUAAAACACGAAAAUUUCACACAAUCAAAUGCAUACAAAACAAUAUUAAUAAUAUUUUUCUAAUUCAAAUUUGUGGUCCCGAAACCAGUAUUCUGAUUAGGGUCAAAAACCGGGUUGUUACAACUCUCCCCCCUUAGGGAUUUUCGUCCCCGAAAAUCUUACCGGUGAAUAGGUUUGGAUAACGCUCUUUCAUUGUAUCUUCUAACUCCCAAGUUGCUUCUUCAACCCCAUGUUUAUGCCACAACACUUUAACUAACGGAAUUUUCUUAUUUCGUAAUUCUUUGAUCUCACGAGCCAGAAUGCUAAUCGGUUCUUCCUCAUAUGUCAUAUCAGAGUUAAUUUCAAUCUCCGUCGGACUAAUCACAUGUGAAGGAUCAGAUCGGUAUCUACGAAGCAUCGAAACAUGGAAUACGUUAUGAAUCUUUUCUAACUCAGGCAGUAACAUCAAUCUAUAAGCAACCAAUCCAACUCGCUCUAUAAUCUCAUACGGUCCAAUGAAUCUCGGACACAAUUUGCCUUUACGACCAAAUCUGAGUAUUUUCUUCCACGGUGAGACUUUUAAAAACACUUUAUCCCCGAUCUGAAAUUCUAUAUCCUUUCUUUUCAAAUUCGCAUAAGAUUUCUGACGAUCCGAUGCUGAUUUCAGACUGUCCCGAAUCACUUUCACUUUCUGUUCGGUCUCUUUAAUCAAAUCAACCCCGUGUAUCUUAUUUUCACUGAGCUCGGUCCAAUACAGUGGUGUACGACAUUUACAACCGUACAAAGCCUCAUAAGGUGCCAUUUUGAUACUAGAUUGAAAGCUAUUAUUAUAAGCAAAUUCAAUCAAAGGUAAGUAUCGUUCCCACGUACCUUCAAACUCGAGAAUGCAACAUCUCAACAUAUCCUCAAGUAUCUGAAUGAUUCAUUCAGAUUGACCAUCUGUCUGCGGAUCGAAAGCUGUGCUAAAAUGUAGUUUCGUACCUAAAGCAUCUUGUAGUUUCUUCCAAAAUCGCGAUGUGAAUCUCAGAUCUCUGUCUGAAACAAUAGAAAUAGGUACACCAUGCAACCUCACAAUUUGUGAAAUAUACAAUUCCGCAAGUUUAUCGAGCGAAAAAUCUGUACGAAUCGAAAUAAAAUGUGUCGAUUUUGUCAACCUAUCAACAAUAACCCAGAUUGCAUCUAUCUUGCUCGGUGUCAACGGUAAAUCGGAUACAAAAUCCAUCGUGACUCGAUCCCAUUUCCAUUGAGGUAUCAUGAUCGGCUGAAGCAACCCAGAUGGUACCUGAUGCUUGGCUUUAACUUGCUGACAAAUUAAACAUUUCGAAACAAAGUCAGAAAUGUCUCGUUUCAUACCUUGCCACCAAUAGUGCUGUUUCAGAUCGUUAUACAUUUUCGUGCUACCCGGAUGAACAGAAAAUCGACUACUAUGAGCUUCCUUCAAAAUCAUCUAAAUUAACUCUGAUUUUUUCGGAACACAUAAUCGGUUUCUAAAUCUCAAACAAUCCUCAGCAUCAACUAAAAACUCCGAAUCAAUAUUUAAGUCACAUUGAGCUCGUUUUGCAGUUAAAUCAUUAUCGACCUUUUGAGCUUCACAAAUCUGUUGUACAAAUAACGGUUUUGCUUUCAACUCAGCUACUAUCGCACCAUCAUCAGACAUAACCAUAUGUGCGUUCAUUGCACGCAAAGCAAACAGUGAUUUUCGACUUAGGGCAUCAGCAACAACAUUAGCCUUUCCCGGAUGAUAGUCAAUCACAAGCUCGUAUUCUUUCAGCAAUUCUAACCAUCGACGCUGUCUCAAAUUCAGAUAUUUCUGAGUCAUCAAAUAUUUCAGGCUUUUGGGAUCGGAAUAAACAUGACAUCUUUCACCAAACAGAUAGUGACGCCAUAUUUUUAACGCAAAUACAAUAGCGGCCAAUUCCAGAUCAUGUGUCGGAUAGUUUUUUUCAUGCGGCUUUAACUGUCUCAAGGCAUAGGCUACAACUUUGCCUUCCUACAUCAAAACACAACCCAAACCAUUUAAAGAUGCAUCACUAUAGAUAACAAACUCUUUACCCGAUUCGGGUUGAACUAAGACUGGAGCUUCGGUCAAAAGAACUUUCAACUGAUCAAAGUUUUUCUGACACUUUUCUGACCACUCGAACUUAACGUCUUUUUGUAGUAGCUUUGUCAUCGGGGUCGCAAUCAUAGAAAACCCUUUCACGAACCGUCUAUAAUAACCAGCGAGCCCCAGAAAGCUUCGAACAUCAGAGACAUUUCUCGGAGGUUUCCAAUCAAGUAUAGCUGAAAUUUUACCUGGAUCAACUCGAAUACCCGAUGCUGACACAACAUGGCCCAGAAAACUAACUUCACGUAACCAGAACUCGCAUUUACUGAACUUUGCAUACAACUGUUUAUCUCGCAAAGUUUGUAACACAAGUCUCAGAUGUUCAGUAUGCUCGGUUUCAUCACGAGAGUAGAUCAAAAUAUCAUCUAUAAAUACUACCACAAAUCGAUCCAGAUACUGUCUAAAAAUCUGAUUCAUCAAAUCCAUGAAAACAGCAGGUGCAUUAGUAAGUCCAAAAGGCAUAACCAAGAACUCAUAAUGUCCGUACCUCGUUCGGAAAGCUGUCUUUGGCACAUCAGAGUCUUUAACUCGCAACUGAUAGUAGCCUGAUCUCAGAUCUAUCUUCGAAAACACAGUAGCCCCUUUCAACUGAUCGAACAAAUCAUCAAUCCGUGGUAACGGAUACUUAUUCUUUAUAGUCACCUUAUUGAGUUGCCGGUAAUCAAUGCACAUUCUCAUUGUUCUGUCUUUCUUUUUCACAAAUAGAACUGGUGCACCCCAAGGAGAGAAACUCGGUCGUGUAAAACCUUUAUCAGUCAACUCUUGCAACUGUACUUUCAAUUCUUUUAAUUCGGUCGGUACCAUACGGUACGGAGCUAUCGAAAUUGGAGUUGUCCCUGGUACUAACUCAAUACCAAACUCUACCUCUCGAAUAGGUGGCAAACCCGGUAAUUCUUCGGGAAACACGUCUGAAUACUUACACACUACUGGCACAGAUUCAAUCUUCUUUUCGGUCACUUUACUAUCAAGAAAAAAUGCAAGGUAAUCUUCACAACCUUUUCUCACAUACUUCUGAGCCGACAUCGAGGAUAUUAUUGCUGGUAAACCAUUCAGAUCAUUAGAUUCAAUCCGAAUAAUCUCAUCAUUCUGACACCGUAGAUCAAUAGUUUUCCGUUUGCAGUUUACUAUAGCAUUAUGCAGAGUUAACCAAUCCAUACCCAGAAUUAUAUCAAACUCGUCAAAUGGUAGCAACAUCAAAUCAGCCAGAAAACAUAAAUCUCGAAUCAUCAACGGACAAUUCUUGCACACUUUGUCAACCAAAACACACCGGCCCAAGAGGUUCAAUACUUUAAUUACAAACUCAGUAGACUCAACAGGCAAAGUCUUACUGAAUACUAAAGUCUCACACACAUAAGAAUGAGUCGAACCAAGAUCAAUCAAUGCAAUAACAUUAGUAUCAUAAAGAGUGAAAGUACCAGUAAUAACAUCUGGAGAAGAAGCCUCCUCCCGAGCACGGAUGGCAUAUGCUCUGGCAAGUGCACGAGCCUCAGAUCGAACUGCCAUGUCCUUUGUUCCUCUCUGACUGCCACUUACAUUACUCAAUUGCCUCGGCGGUCUACCUCGUACAGGUACUUUACUCGGUCUGGUAUUCUACACAGUGUUUUGCUCAGCUACCAUCGGACACUCUCGAAUGAAAUGAUCCUUUGAACCGCACUUAAAGCAAGACCGAUCAUGUAAUCUGCAAUCUCCAGGAUGCCAUUUCCCACAAUGCUUGUACUCUGAUCUAUUUUGUCGAACACUACCAACGCUAGCAACUGAAGUAGCUCGUGAACUCACAGGGGGUCGAUCUCGAUCAUACUUAGGAAACCCUGCAGUAGCUUUAGAUCGGCUAUGAUCCUCUCUGGAUUUCAUUGAGGUCGACUGGAAUGAUUUACUGAAUGAUCUUUUACGAGAAUCUCGAGCUUCAUAGCCAGCUUUCCUCUUCUCUUUACUGAGCUCCUUAACUUUACAAGGUCGUUCAACAAGUACUACGAACUCUUUUAUCUCAAGUAUACCAAAUAACAGUUUAAUAUCUUCAUCCAGCCCAUCUUCAAAUCUUUUACACAUGAUAGCUUCAGUCGAAAUACAUUCUCGAGCAUAUCUACUGAGUCUCACAAAUUUCCGCUCAUAUUCUAUCACUGUCAUACGACCCUGUUUCAAUUCAAGAAAUUCCUUAUGCUUCUGAUCAAUGAAUCUUUGGCUGAUGUAUUUCUUACAGAACUCAAUCUGAAAGAAUUCCCAGGUCACUCGCUCUUUCGGAACCACCGAUACUAGUGUAUUCCACCAGUGAUAUGCAGUGUCCCGUAGCAAAGAUAUGGCACAUUUCAAGUACUCAUCAGGGGUGCAAGAUAACUCAUCAAACACUCGAAUAGUAUUAUCAAGCCAGAAUUCAGCUUGCUCAGCAUCAUCAUCAUCAGUAGCUCUGAACUCUUCGACCCCGUGUUUUCAAAUUUAGUCAACAGGAGGCUUAAGUAAUCUCAUCGGAUCACUUACUUGAGGUAUAAUAGGAAUCGAAGGUGGAUUAGUCGGGGGUGGAGUUUGUUGUGCAACCGGAUUAGUUCGGACAUAUUGAGUAAACCAGUCAUUCAUCAUUUGGUAGAAGGCUUGUUUAGCCUCUCCCUCCUGGUUACUCGAGGUCGGUCGAGAAUCUACCAGCUCUGUCCCUUGUGUGGGAGCAGGCGCUAUACUCUCAACAUCAUCGACUACGGCUGGAUCGGGAUCCAUUACUAUACGAAAACACAUUUUUAGACAUCAGCAGUCAUCGCACUAUCUUGGUAUAAAAAUAUGGCAUGUAUAGCUAGACUCAUACAUGCUACAUUAGUCCAAGAAUCGAUUAAACCGUAGCUCUGAUACCAAUAAAAUGUAACACCCCUAACCCGUAUCCGUCGCCGAAUUAGGGUUACGAGGCAUUACUGAACAAAUACAACCAUUUUUAAAACCAACUGAUCACAAACAUGAAAAUUAAAUCAUUUUCACAUAGCUAUUUAUAAUUUACAAUCAACAUCUAACCAACAUCGUACUCAAACCUAUACAUGCCAUAAGAUCAAGUUCAAAUAUUUAACAAAAUACCAAAAGGGGUCGAAAGUGUGAUAGACUAUGCUGAUGAUCCCCGAGCUCGUAACGCAUCUCCAAAAUCUAUAAAAACAAAUGGACAAAAACAAUCAAAGUAAGCUUUUAUAGCUUAGUAAGUCUAUAGCAUAUCUAAAAUACAUAUAAAAGAAUCAUAUAAUUCUUAAAAUAAAUUUAUUGAAAUCACAAUUAUCAAUUAUAAUUACUAAUCGAACAUUGCUAUAUUAAGUCAUCUUGUUUAAAUCUAAAAGGAUGUGUAUUUAUCUAAUACACAUGAACGGACAAAUGUAUAUACAUUAUAUGCAUAUAAUCAAUUUACUAACAUAAUCAUUAAUUGCAUAUACGGAUUUCUAUAGUACUUAUUGUUCGCACUUAAUCGGAUCCAUUUAAAUAUAAUUGUUCAAAUACAUAUACCAAAAGCAUAAUAAUUUUAUACUUGAUCAACUAUAAGUGCCGAAUGCACAUAUACACCUAUACCCACCUAUGCCGAAUGCAUACAUAUAUACACAUAUAUAUAUAUCCAACAAUUUCGUGACAACCGAUAUAUAUAUACAUACUCACUAUUCACAAGGACUCGAACGAUUAUAUACUCAUCAACCACCUUAAAACAAUGUUCAUAAACUUAUCCAUUUCAUAUAAACAAAAGCAUAUAUAUUUAUACCCAAUGCAUAGAAUCACUUAAUUUAAACAGAUUCACUAGCACUUCACCUGAUAGGCUUAUAGUUUAAUUCAGUUCACCGGUACUUAGCCUACUAGGCUUGUAGCCUGAUUCAGUUCACCGGCACUUAGCCUGCUAGACGUAUAGUCCGAUUCAAUUCACCGGCAUUUAGCCUGCUAGACGUAUAGUCCGAUUCAAUUUAUCGGCACUUAGCCUGCUAGAUGUAUAGUCUGAAUAAUUUUACUGGUAAUAAAUCCGAUAGUCAUUUCUCCGUUGAAAUUGAAUUAUAUUCAAUUCUGCGUAACAAACAUGCACUUAAAACAUACUUGCAUAAUUCACAACAAUAAUUUCAGUCCAAAGAGCUGUAAUUCAUAUUCGAACUAUAUAUAUAAAUCCAUACAUAAAAAUUCAGCUCAAAAUUUAUAACCUAUAUCUUUGAACCACAUAGGUACAUGAAAUUCAAACAACAAAAUCCAGCUCAAUAACUUCAUGAUUCAACCUAACAAAUUUAUGUAUAUAACUUUUUAUCUAAUUUCAAUACAAUAACUUAUACAUGUACGUAUAUACAUAUUCGAAUCUAACAUAUACAUAUAUAAUUUCAUACUUAAAUAUAUUCAAGACUUAUUCAUGAGUAUACAUAUAUAUUACAACUCACAUGUACAUAUAUAUACACAUUCAUACCUUUAACCAAGUCCAAGGCUUUAUACAUGUAUAUGCUUAUAUAUAUAUAUAUUCGGACCUUAUGUUUACAUAUAUAUUAUAUAUAAAUACCUUUGAUUAAAAACAAGUAUUUAUACAUAUAUAUAUUUUUGAACAUGAUACAUAUAUAUAUUUAUAUCAUUCAUACUUAAACAAAAUUCAAUCCAUAUACUUUCAAUUUCAGCUCACCAAAUUACUAUAGAUAUACAUGCAUAUAUACUGAUUUAAUAACCUCAAAUUGCUAAUAGACUUACCUCGGAUAUCAGCGGACACGAUCGACUAUUCGAUUACUUUCGUUUUUCCCCGAUCCAAAUUCGUUUUCUUCGUUUUUUUAUCUUAAUUAGACCUAGAGAUAGCCGAACCUUGUUGUUCUCUUUUCUUUUCUUUUCUUUUUCUUUUCUAUAUUCGGCCAAGAUGAAGAACAUGGCAUUUAAAAUUUGUUAUAUUAAACAUAUAUUAGCCUUAUUUUUAAUUUACUAUAUUAACCUUUACAUAUAUAUAUAACAUAUAUAAUAAGGUUACAUUAGUCCUUUGCCACCCACUAACUUACAUAGUGGACUAAUUGCAUAGUAAAACCUCUAAAUUAUAAAGACAACAACAAUUAGGUGCUUUUAUAAUUAACCCCUAAAUUUUCAUUUUACGCGAUUAAGCCCUUUUAUUAAAUCGGACACUUAAACGACGAAAUUAAAACACGAAAAUUUCACACAAUCAAAUGCAUACAAAAUAAUAUUAAUAAUAUUUUUCUAAUUCAAAUUUGUGGUCCCGAAACCAGUAUUCUGAUUAGGGUCAAAAACCGGGUUGUUACAACUCUCCCCCCUUAGAGAUUUUCGUCCCCGAAAAUCUUACCGGUGAAUAGGUUUGGAUAACGCUCUUUCAUUGUAUCUUCUGACUCCCAAGUUGCUUCUUCAACCCCAUGUUUAUGCCACAACACUUUAACUAACGGAAUUUUCUUAUUUCGUAAUUCUUUGAUCUCACGAGCAAGAAUGCUAAUCGGUUCUUCCUCAUAUGUCAUAUCAGAGUUAAUUUCAAUCUCCGUCGGACUAAUCACAUGUGAAGGAUCAGAUCGGUAUCUACGGAGCAUCGAAACAUGGAAUACGUUAUGAAUCUUUUCUAACUCAGGCAGUAACAUCAAUCUAUAAGCAACCAAUCCAACUCGCUCUAUAAUCUCAUACGGUCCAAUUAAUCUCGGACACAAUUUGCCUUUACGACCAAAUCUGAGUAUUUUCUUCCACGGUGAGACUUUUAACUUGCUCGGUGUCAACGGUAAAUCGGAUACAAAAUCCAUCGUGACUCGAUCCCAUUUCCAUUGAGGUAUCAUGAUCGGCUGAAGCAAUCCAGAUGGUACCUGAUGCUCGGCUUUAACUUGCUGACAAAUUAAACAUUUCGAAACAAAGUCAGAAAUGUCUCGUUUCAUACCUUGCCACCAAUAGUGCUGUUUUAGAUCGUUAUACAUUUUCGUGCUACCCGGAUGAACAGAAAAUCGAAUACUAUGAGCUUCCUUCAAAAUCAUCUGAAUUAACUCUGAAUUUUUCGGAACACAUAAUCGGUUUCUAAAUCUCAAACAAUCCUCAGCAUCAACUAAAAACUCCGAAUCAAUAUUUAAGUCACAUUGAGCUCGUUUUGCAGUUAAAUCAUUAUCAACCUUUUGAGCUUCACAAAUCUGUUGUACAAAUAACAGUUUUGCUUUCAACUCAGCUACUAUCGCACCAUCAUCAGACAUAACCAUAUGUGCGUUCAUUGCACGCAAAGCAAACAGUGAUUUUCGACUUAGGGCAUCAGCAACAACAUUAGCCUUUCCCGGAUGAUAGUCAAUCACAAGCUCGUAAUCUUUCAGCAAUUCUAACCAUCGACGCUGUCUCAAAUUCAGAUAUUUCUGAGUCAUCAAAUAUUUCAGGCUUUUGGGAUCGGAAUAAACAUGACAUCUUUCGCCAAACAGAUAGUGACGCCAUAUUUUUAACGCAAAUACAAUAGCGGCCAAUUCCAGAUCAUGCGUCGGAUAGUUUUUUUCAUGCGGCUUUAACUGUCUCAAGGCAUAGGCUACAACUUUGCCUUCCUACAUCAAAACACAACCCAAACCAUUUAAAGAUGCAUCACUAUAGAUAACAAACUCUUUACCCGAUUCGGGUUGAACUAGGACUGGAGCUUCGGUCAAAAGAACUUUCAACUGAUCAAAGUUUUUCUGACACUUUUCUGACCACUCGAACUUAACGUCUUUUUGUAGUAGCUUUGUCAUCGGGGUCGCAAUCAUAGAAAACCCUUUCACGAACCGUCUAUAAUAACCAGCGAGCCCCAGAAAGCUUCGAACAUCAGAGACAUUUCUCGGAGGUUUCCAAUCAAGUAUAGCUGAAAUUUUACUUGGAUCAACCUGAAUACCCGAUGCUGACACAACAUGGCCCAGAAAACUAACUUCACGUAACCAGAACUCGAAUUUACUGAACUUUGCAUACAACUGUUUAUCUCGCAAAGUUUGUAACACAAGUCUCAGAUGUUCAGUAUGCUCGGUUUCAUCACGAGAGUAGAUCAAAAUAUCAUCUAUAAAUACUACCACAAACAGAUCCAGAUACUGUCUAAAAAUCUGAUUCAUCAAAUCCAUGAAAACAGCAGGUGCAUUAGUAAGUCCAAAAGGCAUAACCAAGAACUCAUAAUGUCCGUACCUCGUUCGGAAAGCAGUCUUUGGCACAUCAGAGUCUUUAACUCGCAACUGAUAGUAGCCUGAUCUCAGAUCUAUCUUCGAAAACACAGUAGCCCCUUUCAACUGAUCGAACAAAUCAUCAAUCCGUGGUAACGGAUACUUAUUCUUUAUAGUCACCUUAUUGAGUUGCCGGUAAUCAAUGCACAUUCUCAUUGUUCCGUCUUUCUUUUUCACAAAUAGAACUGGUGCACCCCAAGGAGAGAAACUCGGUCGUGCAAAACCUUUAUCAGUCAACUCUUGCAACUGUACUUUCAAUUCUUUUAAUUCAGUCGGUGCCAUACGGUACGGAGCUAUCGAAAUUGGAGUUGUCCCUGGUACUAACUCAAUACCAAACUCUACCUCUCGAAUAGGUGGCAAACCCGGUAAUUCUUCGGGAAACACGUCUGAAUACUUACACACUACUGGCACAGAUUCAAUCUUCUUUUCGAUCACUUUACUAUCAAGAAAAAAUGCAAGGUAAUCUUCACAACCUUUUCUCACAUACUUUUUUGCCGACAUCGAGGAUAUUAUUGCUGGUAAACCAUUCAGAUCAUUAGAUUCAAUCCGAAUAAUCUCAUCAUUCUGACACCGUAGAUCAAUAGUUUUCCGUUUGCAGUUUACUAUAGCAUCAUGCAGAGUUAACCAAUCCAUACCCAGAAUUAUAUCAAACUCGUCAAAUGGUAGCAACAUCAAAUCAGCCAGAAAACAUAAAUCUCGAAUCAUCAACGGACAAUUCUUGCAUAUUUUGUCAACCAAAACACACCGGCCCAGGGGGUUCAAUACUUUAAUUACAAACUCAGUAGACUCAACAGGCAAAGUCUUACUGAAUACUAAAGUCUCACACACAUAAGAAUGAGUCGAACCAAGAUCAAUCAAUGCAAUAACAUUAGUAUCAUAAAGAGGGAAAGUACCAGUAAUAACAUCUGGAGAAGAAGCCUCCUCUUGAGCACGGAUGGCAUAUGCUCUGGCAAGUGCACGAGCCUCAGAUCGAACUGCCAUGUCCUUUGUUCCUCUCUGACUGCCACUUACAUUACUCAAUUGCCUCGGUGGUCUACCUCGUACUGGCACUUUACUCGGUCUGGUAUUCUGCACAGUGUUUUGCUCAGCUACCAUCGGACACUCUCGAAUGAAAUGAUCCUUUGAACCGCACUUAAAGCAAGACCGAUCAUGUAAUCUGCAAUCUCCAGGAUGCCAUUUCCCACAAUACUUGUACUCUGAUCUAUUUUGUCGAACACUACCAACGCUAGCAACUGAAGUAGCUCGUGAACUCACAGGGGGUCGAUCUCGAUCAUACUUAGGAAACCCUGCAGUAGCUUUAGAUCGGCUAUGAUCCUCUCUGGAUUUCAUUGAGGUCGACUGGAAUGAUUUACUGAAUAAUCUUUUACGAGAAUCUCGAGCUUCAUAGCCAGCUUUCCUCUUCUCUUUCCCGAGCUCCUCAACUUUACAAGGUCGUUCAACAAGUACUACGAACUCUUUUAUCUCAAGUAUACCAAAUAACAGUUUAAUAUCUUCAUCCAGCCCAUCUUCAAAUCUUUUACACAUGAUAGCUUCAGUCGAAAUACAUUCUCGAGCAUAUCUACUGAGUCUCACAAAUUUCCGCUCAUAUUCUAUCACUGUCAUACGACCCUGUUUCAAUUUAAGAAAUUACUUACGCUUCUGAUCAAUGAAUCUUUGGCUGAUGUAUUUCUUACAGAACUCAAUCUGAAAGAAUUCCCAGGUCACUCGCUCUUUCGGAACCACCGAUACUAGUGUAUUCCACCAGUGAUAUGCAGUGUCCCGUGGCAAAGAUAUGGCACAUUUCAAGUACUCAUCAGGGGUGCAAGAUAACUCAUCAAACACUCGAAUAGUAUUAUCAAGCCAGAAUUCAUCUCGCUCAGCAUCAUCAUCAUCAGUAGCUCUGAACUCUUCGACCCCGUGUUUUUGAAUUUUGUCAAUAGGAGGCUUAAGUAAUCUCAUCGGAUCACUUACUUGAGGUAUAACAGGAAUCGAAGGUGGAUUAGUCGGGGGUGGAGUUUGUUGUGCAACCGGAUUAGUUCGGACAUAUUGAGUAAACCAGUCAUUCAUCAUUUGGUAGAAGGCUUGUUUAGCCUCUCCCUCCUGGUUACUCGAGGUCGGUCGAGAAUCUACCGGCUCUGUCCCUUGUGUGGGAGCAGGCGCUAUACCCUCAACAUCAUCGACUACGGCUCGAUCGGGAUCCAUUACUAUACGAAAACACAUUUUUAGACAUCAGCAGUCAUCACACUAUCUUGGUAUAAAAAUAUGGCAUGUAUAGCUAGACUCAUACAUGCUACAUUAGUCCAAGAAUCGAUUAAACCGUAGCUCUGAUACCAAUAAAAUGUAACACCCCUAACCCGUAUCCGUCGCCGAAUUAGGGUUACGAGGCAUUACUGAACAAAUACAACCAUUUUUAAAACCAACUGAUCACAAACAUGAAAAUUAAAUCAUUUUCACAUAGCUAUUUAUAAUUUACAAUCAACAUCUAACCAACAUCGUACUCAAACCUAUACAUGCCAUAAGAUCAAGUUCAAAUAUUUAACAAAAUACCAAAAGGGGUCAAAAGUGUGAUAGACUAUGCUGAUGAUCCCCGAGCUCGUAACGCGUCUCCAAAAUCUAUAAAAACAAAUGGACAAAAACAAUCAAAGUAAGCUUUUAUAGCUUAGUAAGUCUAUAGCAUAUCUAAAAUACAUAUAAAAGAAUCAUAUAAUUCUUAAAAUAAAUUUAUUGAAAUCACAAUUAUCAAUUAUAAUUACUAAUCGAACAUUGCUAUAUUAAGUCAUCUUGUUUAAAUCUAAAAGGAUGUGUAUUUAUCUAAUACACAUGAACGGACAAAUGUAUAUACAUUAUAUGCAUAUAAUCAAUUUACUAACAUAAUCAUUAAUUGCAUAUACGGAUUUCUAUAGUACUUAUUGUUCGCACUUCAUCGGAUCCAUUUAAAUAUAAUUGUUCAAAUACAUAUACCAAAAGCAUAAUAAUUUUAUACUUGAUCAACUAUAAGUGCCGAAUGCACAUAUACACCUAUACCCACCUAUGCCGAAUGCAUACAUAUAUACACAUAUAUAUAUAUCCAACAAUUUCAUGACAACCGAUAUAUAUAUACAUACUCACUAUUCACAAGGACUCGAACGAUUAUAUACUCAUCAACCACCUUAAAACAAUGUUCAUAAACUUAUCCAUUUCAUAUAAACAAAAGCAUAUAUAUUUAUACCCAAUGCAUAGAAUCACUUAAUUUAAACAGAUUCACUGGCACUUCACCUGAUAGGCUUAUAGUUUAAUUCAGUUCACCGGCACUUAGCCUACUAGGCUUGUAGCCUGAUUCAGUUCACCGGCACUUAGCCUGCUAGACGUAUAGUCCGAUUCAAUUCACCGGCAUUUAGCCUGCUAGACGUAUAGUCCGAUUCAAUUUACCGGCACUUAGCCUGCUAGAUGUAUAGUCUGAAUAAUUUUACUGGUAAUAAAUCCGAUAGUCAUUUCUCCGUUGAAAUUGAAUUAUAUUCAAUUCUGCGUAACAAACAUGCACUUAAAACAUACUUGCAUAAUUCACAACAAUAAUUUCAGUCCAAAGAGCUGUAAUUCAUAUUCGAACUAUAUAUAUAUAAAUCCAUACAUAAAAAUUCAGCUCAAAAUUUAUAACCUAUAUCUUUGAACCACAUAGGUACAUGAAAUUCAAACAACAAAAUCCAGCUCAAUAACUUCAUGAUUCAACCUAACAAAUUUAUGUAUAUAACUUUUUAUCUAAUUUCAAUACAAUAACUUAUACAUGUACGUAUAUACAUAUUUGAAUCUAACAUAUACAUAUAUAAUUUCAUACUUAAAUAUAUUCAAGACUUAUUCAUGAGUAUACAUAUAUAUUACAACUCACAUGUACAUAUAUAUACACAUUCAUACCUUUAACCAAGUCCAAGGCUUUAUACAUGUAUAUGCUUAUAUAUAUAUAUAUUCGGACCUUAUGUUUACAUAUAUAUUAUAUAUAAAUACCUUUGAUUAAAAACAAGUAUUUAUACAUAUAUAUAUUUUCGAACAUGAUACAUACAUAUAUUUAUAUCAUUCAUACUUAAACAAAAUUCAAUCCAUAUACUUUCAAUUUCAGCUCACCAAAUUACUAUAGAUAUACAUGCAUAUAUACUGAUUUAAUAACCUCAAAUUGCUAAUAGACUUACCUCGGAUAUCAGCGGACACGAUCGACUAUUCGAUUACUUUCGUUUUUCCCCGAUCCAAAUUCGUUUUCUUCGUUUUUUUAUCUUAAUUAGACCUAGAGAUAGCCGAACCUUGUUGUUCUCUUUUCUUUUCUUUUCUUUUUCUUUUCUAUAUUCGGCCAAGAUGAAGAACAUGGCAUUUAAAAUUUGUUAUAUUAAACAUAUAUUAGCCUUAUUUUUAAUUUACUAUAUUAACCUUUACAUAUAUAUAACAUAUAUAAUAAGGUUACAUUAGUCCUUUGCCACCCACUAACUUACAUAGUGGACUAAUUGCAUAGUAAAACCUCUAAAUUAUAAAGACAACAACAAUUAGGUGCUUUUAUAAUUAACCCCUAAAUUUUCAUUUUACGCGAUUAAGCCCUUUUAUUAAAUCGGACACUUAAACAACGAAAUUAAAACACGAAAAUUUCACACAAUCAAAUGCAUACAAAAUAAUAUUAAUAAUAUUUUUCUAAUUCAAAUUUGUGGUCCCGAAACCAGUAUUCUGAUUAGGGUCAAAAACUGGGUUGUUACAACUCUCCCCCCUUAGGGAUUUUCGUCCCCGAAAAUCUUACCGGUGAAUAGGUUUGGAUAACGCUCUUUCAUUGUAUCUUCUGACUCCCAAGUUGCUUCUUCAACCCCAUGUUUAUGCCACAACACUUUAACUAACGGAAUUUUCUUAUUUCGUAAUUCUUUGAUCUCACGAGCCAGAAUGCUAAUCGGUUCUUCCUCAUAUGUCAUAUCAGAGUUAAUUUCAAUCUCCGUCGGACUAAUCACAUGUGAAGGAUCAGAUCGGUAUCCACAGAGCAUUGAAACAUGGAAUACGUUAUGAAUCUUUUCUAACUCAGGCAGUAACAUCAAUCUAUAACCAACCGAUCCAACUCGCUCUAUAAUCUCAUACGGUCCAAUGAAUCUCGGACUCAAUUUGCCUUUACGACCAAAUCUGAGUAUUUUCUUCCACGGUGAGACUUUUAAAAACACUUUAUCCCCGAUCUGAAAUUCUAUAUCCUUUCUUUUCAAAUCCGCAUAAGAUUUCUGACGAUCCGGUGCUGAUUUCAGACUGUCCCGAAUCACUUUCACUUUCUGUUCGGUCUCUUUAAUCAAAUCAACCCCGUGUAUCUUAUUUUCACUGAGCUCAGUCCAAUACAGUGGUGUACGACAUUUACGACCGUACAAAGCCUCAUAAGGUGCCAUUUUGAUACUAGAUUGAAAGCUAUUAUUAUAAGCAAAUUCAAUCAAAGGUAAGUAUCGUUCCCACGUACCUUCAAACUCGAGAAUGCAACAUCUCAACAUAUCCUCAAGUAUCUGAAUGAUUCGUUCAGAUUGACCAUCUGUCUGCGGAUGGAAAGCUGUGCUAAAAUGUAGUUUCGUACCUAAAGCUGUGCUAAAAUGCACACAAAAUAAACACACAAAAUAAUAUUAAUAAUAUUUUUCUAAUUCGGAUUUGUGGUCCCGAAACCACUAUUCCGAUUAGGGUCAAAAACCGGGUUGUUACAAUUCUGCUUCUUCUGCAUCAUCAUCUUUGGUAGCUCGAAAUUCUUCAGCCCCUUACUUCCUAAUCUUAUCAACAGGUGGUCUCUCACUGAUGACUAUACCUGCAGCUAGGGAAACUACAUGAGGAACCUGUGAAUCCUGAAGGGGUGGAGGUCUUACACCCGGAUUCAUACGAACGAACUCGGCAAACCAAUCAUUCAUGGCUUGGAAGAAGGCUUCUCUAGCUCCUCCUCCCUGUCUAACUGAUGCAGGUCUUUCACUAACGUUAACAUCUAGUGGCACCGUCCUUUCUGCGGAAGUAGGCGCAUUACUCUCUACUUCAUCUGCACCAGCUCGUUCAGGAUCCGUAACUAUAAAAUAAAAUAUUUUAAAAUCGUCAAGAGUCGUCACACUAUCAAAAUAUAUAAGUAUGGCAUGUAUAGGUAGACUUUUAUUCAUACUGCAUAUUUCUGAGAACCGAUUAAACCUGCUCUGAUACCAACAAAUGUAACACCCCUUACCCAAGACCAUUUUCGGAGUCGAGCACGAGGCAUUACUUAUCUUAUCUUACUAACUCGAAGCAUAAAAACUUAUUUUAAAAAUUAAUUUCACUAUUUACAGCAAUCUGUCCAAUCGAGCAGCAGUUACUAAAUUAAUAAUAACUCGAGCUACGGAACUUGAAAUUUAACUUCGUAAAUUUUCACUGAAACUAGACUCAUAUAUCUUCCUACCAUAAAGUUUUUAGGAUUUUUUGUUUAGCCAACUAGUACAGUUUAUUAGUCAAAUUCUCCCCUGUUUCACCAAUCGAUUGCCUUGACCUCUUAUCACUAAAAAUAAAAUUUCUCAAUGUGGGAUUUUCGUAUAGUGCUACUGCUUGCUUCUACAAAAAAUAGACUCAAUAAGGAAUCUAUAAAUAUAAACUACAGCUCCUAAAUAUUUUUUUAAAAAUUUUAAUGAUUUUCUAAACUCAAAAUAGGGGUCACCAAAAACUGUUCUAACCCUGUCUCACCAAAAUUCACAUAUCUUAAAAUAUAAAAUUCAUUUUGCUACACCGUUAUUUUUAUCUGAAAAUAGACUCAACAAGAUUUAAAUUCAUAUAUCAUUCACUCUUUAAUUCAUUUUAUACUAUCCUAGGUGAUAUUUCAAAGUCACGUCGUUGUUGCUGCCUGAAUUCUGUUUCUUUGCAAAAUUGUACCAUUUUAUGAUUUCCAUGCAUAGUUUAUCACUUACACUCUUAUAACAACAAACACUUCCAUACUUCACCAUUUUAGCAACCAUUCAUCAUCAACUACUUACAUAUCAUUCUUUAUCAAGAUCAUAAAUACAAACAUUUAAAAUAACUAAAUCCCUAUACAUUCCAUACUCAACAUGGUUCAACAUAAAAAUACCGAGUUGCUGUGGCUGAUAGUGUGGACGAUCUCCGACUUCUUUAGGAUCCUUGAAGUAACCUUGCAAUACUAUAAGAGAAAGAGAAAUAAAAGACGUAAGCAUAAAGCUUAGUAAGUUUACUAGCAAAUAAAUAACAAUAUUUAACUCAGAUAAUUAAACUCAAGUGUCUAUAUCUCUAGUUUACUCUUUAGUUAAUCCCAUUCUAGUUCUCUUGCUUGUUUACUUAGUAUACUUGUGUGCAUAACUUAAUCUUCUCUUGCUGUAUCGUUGAAUAUCAAUUGAUAAUAUAAUAAGUUCUUAACUCUUAUAACUUACCUGAACUUGCCAUUUAUGUUUUUAACUGAACUUUCCUGAACAUGAUUCGUUAUUUAGCCCGUUGAGCUACAUUGGAACAAUAAGGAUACUCGGGUCUCUUCUGAUAAUAACAUGCCAAAGCCAUGUCCCAGACAUGGUCUUACAUGGGAUGUACUCAUGUCGGUGCCCAUUCCAUGUCCCAGACAUGGUCUUACGGGGGACCUCUCAUCUCGGUGCCAAUGUCAUGUCUCAGACAUGGUCUUACAUGGGACCUCUCAUCUCGGUGCCAACACCAUGUCCCAGACAUUGUCUUACAUGGGACCUCUCAUUUCGGUGCCAACGCCAUGUCCCAGACAUGGUCUUACAUGGGACCUCUUUAUCCAAAUGUCAUGACAUUCGUAUCCAGUAUUAUCCUUAUGUAUCAACGGGACUUUUUAAUUUUAAUUCUCUAUCAUUUCAUGCUUGGAUAAUCAUCAAAUAAAUUCAUGAAAUAAAUUCAUAGUUGCUGGAAAAUAGCAGCAUUAAUAAAAAUUAUUGAAAUAUUUCAUUUAUUUACCGUAAACUUACCUUGGUACCGAAUAUAGCCCAAUUCACCAACUUAGUCUUCAACUUUAUUCUUUCCUUUGUCUAACCUCGAGUUUCAUUCUUCUUGAUCUAAAAUAGAAAAUUUAACUUAUUUAAUACUCACAUUCAUCAAAACAGCCCUCGACUCUAACUUUUCAAAAUUAUGAUUUUGCCCCUAAACUUUUACAUAAUUACAUUUUUCCCCAAGGCUCGAAAAUUCAACUUCAUCUCAUAUUCUUAUGUUUUAUGGCAUGCUGAAUAUUUUUCUCUUCUAUGACAAUAUCAAAUUCUCACUCUAACACUUACUUAUGUACAUUAGAGAUUUUUACCGAUUAUGUCAACUUACUCGUUUUUGCUUAAAAUCGGCUAACAAAAGUUGUUUAACAUAAUUUAUAGCUUCAUAUUCUAUCAUAAAACAUCAAAAUAAACACUUUUCACCUAUGGGUAUUUUUCCAAAUAUAAACCCUAGGUUAAAUUAUUGCUAGAAUAAGCUAAAUUAAGUUACCGGGACUCCAAAAACGUAAGGAACAUUAAAAACGGGGCUUGGGAUCACUUACUAUGGAGCUUGGAAGCUUGAAAACCCUAAAUAUGGCUUACCCCCUUGCUGAUUUCGUCCAAAUGAAGAAGAUGAGCAUAAUUUGUCAUCUUUUUCCCUUUUAAUUCAUUUUAAUUACUAGAUUACCAAAUUGCCCCUAACUUAAAAAUUUCCUAUUUCACUUAUCUCAUGUCCAUUUUUGUCUAAAAACUUAACCAAUGGUCUAAUUACCAUAUAAAGACCUCCAAUUUAAAGUUUCAUAACAAUUGGACACCUCUAACAUGUAGAACUCAACUUUUGCACUUUUUGCAAUUUAGUACUUUUGACUAAAUUGAGUGCCCAAACUUCAAAAUUUUCGAAUAAAAUUUUCAUGAAAUCAUUUUGUGAAAUCAUAGACCAUAAAAAUAUAAGAAAAAUAAAAUUUUCCUCAUCGGAUUUGUGAUCCCGAAACCACUGUUCCGAUAAUCUUAAAUUUGGGCCAUUACAUGAUCACCUUUUUACUAGCUCAUACAUCUCCUACAUCAGACCUUACAUGCAUGCUUACCAAACUUUAUUCUUUUUAACAAAACUUUAUACAUAUCAUCGUAGCACAUCUUUCAUCUUUACUAAACUCAUAUUUUUACCAAUUUCUGUAGACAUCAUCAUCAUCAUCCUAUAUAUAUGCUUCUUGUUUGAACAGUUCAUAUCAAAGAGUCAAGAUAGAGACCCACUUGACACUCACCUACUGCAGUUCAAAGCUCUAAACUUAACCAUCCUUCUCAAACCAGCAGUAAAAACUGCUUAUAGAACAUAGAAUCACCAUUAAAAACCCAUUUACAUACAAAUUACUAUCAUCUUAAUCACUUUUCCACUGUUAAUUUAUAAAUAAGUGUUAAGUAGUAAAUAAAUAAAAAAAUUAACUAAGUUUUCAAAAAAAAAGUCACUGUGACGAGAAGAAUGUUAAAAUUAAUUGGUGUUUGUUAACUCAUAUGUUUUUCUAAAAAUGGGUUAAGUUUUCUUCUGAAAUAAACAAAUGUUUUAAAAUGAUUGUUUUAUAAACUCCGAUCGUACUAUCCCAUCUUGGUGGCUGAUGUAAUAUCCCAAAUUCAGGUCUAACAUCUAAGUCGGGUUGGAUAGGUUACAAUAUAUAUAGAAAGAUUGAUAAAUAAUGCAAACUUGAAUACAAGCAAAGAAAGAAAUCAAUCAAUGUGAAUGACUAACAAGUUUAAAAUCAUAUAUUUGCAUUAUAUUUUGUAAAGCACAAGAUUGUCAUGGAAUUAGACAAUUUGUUUUGAUAAUGGUUAUAUUUUAUAUAGAUUUACUUUUAUGCACUUUCAUAUUGAGUUGAUCAAAAGUUUUGAAACUUUAUAGAAAAUUUGAAUGAAAGAGCAUAUUGAUAUAUAUGCUAUCUUGAGUGUUGAAUUAAGCAUUCUUUAGUAAAAGAGUGUACAUUUCGCACAUGGUAGGUGUGUUGGUUUCUUAUAUAUUAAUUAAGCACAAAUUAAAGAAAAAUAAUAUAUAUCACCAUAGUGUUGUAAUAUUUUGUAUAAUUUGUGAAAUUAUACAAGCAAAUAAGUUUACCUAUCUUGUUAAAUAAAACUCAUUAAGUUGGUUCUUAAUCUUGAAGAAUUAAAUAGGUUGGCUUCUUUAUUCAUUUUAUCCAACUACAAGUUAGAUUAAAGUUGUGGAAAUAGAAUGGUUGAAAAUUUGUGUUAAUGAGAAUUAGAGUUAUGGCCACAACUGAUGCCAACUAUUUCCUAAAAACAGGGAAUGAUGUCCAAAAACAUGCUGUAAAAUAAAAAUUUGGACAUGUUAGAAUAUGAAUUUAUUAUAUUAUAGUUUCAAUGUAAUACCCUUAUCCCAUCUCUGUUGCCGGAUUAGGAUUUCAGAGUAUUACUGAGAAAAAUAGAACAUUUAACUUUCCAACAGAAACAAUUGUACAAUUAAAUACCAACAUAUAACAAUUGAAUCUAAUCAUGGCAAAUAUUACACUUUUGGACCUUGAAUCGAGCCUAUGGGGCCCUAGAAACAGUUUAGGAACAAUCUGGGAUCAAAUCAAAACAAAUCAGAACAUUUUGAAAAAACAUAAAAAUUUAGGAAUACAGAGGUCACAGGCCAUAUGGCCAAGUCGUGUGACAUAGCCUAGAUUGUGUAAACAUCCGAAGUCAGGACACAUAGCUGUGUCCCAGCCUGUGUGUCUACUCAUGUGUAUAUUUGAAAUAGGGUCACACAGUCGUGUUGCAGACUGCCAAACGUGUGUGUAUUCAAAGUGAGGUCGCAAGACCAUGUGGCCGACCGUGCCACAAACUGUUUUGAGACACAAGGUCAUGUCUCAGACCGUGUAAAACAUGCACUUAAAAUAAUAAAUACACACGACCGUAUCUAGUGACUAUGUGUGGCACAUGGUCGUGUGGUAGCUUGUGUCUCAGGUCGUGUGCUCCAUUUUUAACCCCUAAAUCAAGCCAAUCAAGCAUCAUUUCUUAUACAACAAGACAUACCAUAUCUAACUAAUUUUACAUGGUUAAAAACACAUUCAAAUCAACAAAUACAUGCCAAAAUUUCGUUCAUCCUAUGUCUAACCAAUAUGCCAUCAAAAGGCACCUCAAUCCAUACAUCCAUUCAACUCAAGAACAAAGUUACAAUAAAUGAACAAGUUUUAUCAUUAGUUAACCAUUCAUGCCUAAAACCACUAAUCUAAUUGACCAAAAUAUGGGCAUACUCAACAAGCAACCAUUUCAAAACAUCAUCAUCAAAUCUUUAUAUACCAUUUAUGAUCAACUUAAUUAUAUUCAACACAAGUACACAUCCAAAAUCAAGCACAUCACUAAGUAUGCCAAAAUAACUUAACUAUUUACAUAUCAACAAUAAGACACCAUAUCCCAAAAUGAAAUAAAAAAGCUACCAAGAUGGUUGGAUAGUGUGUGCUCCAAAACAAUUCAUCCGGUUAGUCCACAAAACGCCAAAUCAACCAAUAUAGAUAAACAAAAAGGUAAGUUCUAAUUCUUGAUAUUCAAAUGCAAGAUCACACCACAUUAGUAUAUAUUUAUUUACAUCAUAAAUGAUACCUUCCAAAAUUCAUAACCAAUUCAUCAUCCACAAUUUCUCAAUACAACCAUUAAUAUUUAUAAACAAGAACUUCAUAGUAACAUUUAUCAUUUAGUAGUAAUAUAAUUAUCCAACAAAAUUGAACAAAUAAAUGCGUUUUAAGUCAUUUGAUACAUAGCCUGCUGAACUAUAGUAACUUGACUCGGAUACUCAUGAUACUACAUCACACCAAAGGUAUCAAUGAUGCAUAACAGAGGCACCGAAGUGCAGACAAAUGCAUGAAUGUGCAAUCAGAGGCACCGAAGUGAAAACAGAUGCACCAAAGUACAAACCCGUACGAGUGCGCAUUAAAACCCUAUUGGCAUGCUAAUCGUAUCCUAAUUGUUUACUACGUUCAACUGGGCAUUAUACUUAAAAUCAUAAUAUCAAUAAAUCCAUCAUUUAGAGGCACUUCUUAUUUCCGUACACAUACUAUAAAUAUGUAACUUUCAUUUCAAUAAUAUGCAAUAACAAUAAUUACCAUCAUCAAACAUUCAUUUUCUAUUUGUACUUAAUUGCAAAAUUUAAUAAUAUAUAAGUAACUCAUGAAAUUUCACAUAUAUACCAUUAACUAGAAAACAAUAAUAUAAUCAUAAAGUGACACACAUAUACAUAUUAUUACACUAUGAACUUACCUAAAAUCUACUUUCGAUUAAUACACAGGGACUACUCCGCUAUUUUUUCCCUUUUCUCGGUUAUUGUCUUUUUGACUCGGUUCUUGAUCUAUAUAGUAAUUAAAUUCAAUUUAUGAAAUUCACAUACAUUUAAAACUCAAUUCAAUGCAUGAUACCCUUAUGUUUUCAUUAUUUUCACAUUUUUCUUAAACUUUUACAUUUCUCACAAUUUAGUCCCUACAAAAUUUAACAAAAUUUUACAAUUUUCCAUGUUAGUUGAACUUCUUUCGAAACUAGUACAAUCCCUAAUUAUUCACAAUUCACAAAAUUUCUAUGCAAAUUUUAAUAAUUCACACAUUGAUCAUUAAACUCAAAAUUAACACAAAUUUUUUUACAAAAAUAUCCUAAUCAACAUUCAAAUAUGUACAACUACCAUUAAAAAUCAUGAACACCAAAAUUCCAUUACUAACCAAUCCCUAAAACUUUAACAUUUUUAUAAUUCCAUCCUCGGGUUUAAUAGUUUAAGUUACAACGAGUUCAAAAACGUAAAAAUUAUUAAAAACAGGUAAGAGAAACACUUACAUGCACCAAUUUGCUAACCGAAACUUCAAGCUCCAAAAAUGGAGUUUUUUUUUUCUUUUUCGGUGGGAGAGAGUUGAGAAGAUGAUGAUACCAUUUUUUUCUUUUGUUUCUUUUCUUUAAUCAAACUAAUUACUAAAUUAUCCUUUUAAUCUAAACUAAAUUAUUAACAUAGCAUGUCCGUAAUUAUCCAUUAACUAACCAUAAGGUUUAUCUAUCAACCAAGUCCAUUACUUUAGUUUUUCUUUAAAAAUCAAGCACAUUUAACAAAUAGAAGCCACUUUAGCAUCUUUUACAAUUUAGACCUUUUUACUAAAUUAACUAAACAGACAUUAAAAUUUCUUAGCCAAAUUUUAUUAUGACUCCAAUAUAACUCUAUAAGCAUAAAAUAAACAUAAAAUACUAACUCAUUUGUCGAAAUUGUGGUCCUGAAACCACCUUUUUUGAUACCACUGAAAAAUGAGAUAUUACAUUAAAUCUCUAAUUUAUGAUAAUGAAUGUGAGAGAAUAAUUUUCUUUGUUUAGAAAUACUAAUCAUUUUCUUUGUUUAGUAAUACUACAACUAGAAUGUGUUUCGACCCUAUUAUUAGAAACUAAUAAUGGAAACCCAACUUUUAAUUAGAAACCUCUAAUUUUAAAGUUUAAUAGGUAACACCCCGAAUUUUGGCCCUAGAAGAAAUAUGUUUUGAACAAGGGAACAGUUAGGAGACUGCACAUAAAUAUUUAGUUGUGCAAGGAAGUGACAUAAAUGAAUGUCUACUUCAGUGGUUGAGUGAUUUAGGAGUGUUUGGAACUGUCUGAGAAGUCAGGGAUUCAAGCAUUGCUUAUGCAAAAUUUUUAUUUUAAGUGAAUAAAAUCAUUGGAUCUAGAUAGUAAGUUCUUAAAUUAUUGUGGUUAAAAUAUGAUGCAAAAGAGUUGUUGGUCUAGUGGUAAGGGGUGUGUGGAGUGCACAUAGGGCCUAAGGUUCGAGUGGUGGCGCAUCAGAAAGGAAAUAUUUAUUUUGCUACUUGAGCUGUUUAGGUAGUGGAGUUGGACUGAAACACAACUAAGGGGAGUUUGCAUAGAAUUUGAAUGGAGUUGUUGGGGGAGUUGAGGAGAAACCGGUAGAAUAAUUUAAGGAGGGAUAAGGGGAGAGAUUUUAGGAGAAAAUCAAGGGAAGUGAGGGGAGUGAAGAAGUGUGCCGAAAGUGGACUUUGAUACUCAGGAAAUUUGGCCAGAAGGGAUACUGCUCAUUUUGGUAUACUUUUCAUUUCGGUUUUGUGUAGUGUUUCUCUCUCUUUUUGCUUUUUGGUGCCGAAUUUUUGCUAAGAUUUCGAGUACCACUCGGGUUUUUCUUUUGCUGCUUUUUUCUUUUAUCAUUUCUUUUGUUUUGGCCGAAUUUCUUUUUAGUUCCCUCCUUUGUCGAAUUCUUUUCUCUCUUCUCUUUGUUGCUUCUUUUCAUUUCUCUAUUUUUCCAAACCUUGACCGAACAGUGUUGAAGUAGUUCUGUGUUCCAUCUUUUGUCUAAAAUGCUCUUCUUCCUCUACUCCUUUUGAUCAACUAUUUGUCGAAUAUUGCCUUCUCUCCCCUUUUAUCUCUUUAAAUUUAUUUUCGGCUUGACAACAAUUCUCUAACAGUUCAAAUUUCUUGAGGAGUGAAAAAGUAUCGCAUAAUAUUAAAGUCAUCGAAACCUUUCUCUCAUCACUCGAUCAAAGGUAAGUAUGUAGGCUAGCAUUCUAAAGUGUAGGCUGAGUGCUUUCUAUGGUUUCAUAAGUUAUUAUGUUUGGAUUUAAACCACAUGAAUAAACAAUCCUAUUUAAUAAAAUCCGUUUGUAAUGCAGAUAUCCAUCAAAGAGAUUGUAGUCAACCUUCGUCAGUGAUAUAAGUAGGCUAAGUCACAUUUGACAAUCGAGGCUUUGGUGCUCGUGGAUCUUAGAGUGUUUUCACAAUCAGGUGUGUAAACACCCCACUGUAACCGUAGAACGACAAAAAGCUAAAAGGCCAAAAAUACGGUGUUUGAGACCACACAGGCGUGCGAUCUCUCAUGUGGUAAGCCCAACCCACAAAUCAUGGCCGAUAGACUGUAGAGGCCUCCAUGAACAUUUCCAUGGGCUUAGGCCGUAAUGGGCCACGUUGGGCCGAAAUGGGUCGUGUGGGUUCAAUAGGCUCGUGGGCACCAUACAGAUGAGAACCACGAUUUGUGAAAAAUACUGGACUGGGCUAUGAAGAUCUCAUAGCCGUGGAAAAAUCUGGGCUGAACAGGCCGCACAAGCGUGCGGGCCUACUUGGGCCGAGUAAUGGGCCUUAGGCCCAUUUGUACCAUUAUGACCAUUUAGGUUACCUGAGUCGCUCGAGGUAACUACGGACCUUUCGAGAGGUCGAUAUCUGCACCAAGACCCAAAAUAGGUAAAAUGAUCGAAAUACCCCUAUAGAGUAAAAUGACCGAAAUACCCCCAAAGGAUAAAAUGAUUGAAAUACCCCUAUAAGGUAAAACGAUCGAAAUACCCCCGUAGGAUAAAAUAACUAUUAUACCCCUAGAAGAUGAAAUGACUGUUAUGGCCUUAUGCUAUGUAUGACUGUUUUGCUCUAUGAUAUGUAUGACUAUGGUUGAGCAUGACAUUUUUCAUACACGUAUGAUAUUAUGUCAUGAUAUAUUGCAUGGGGAUGGAUUGUUAUAUUUGGAGGAAGUGUACUGUACUGACAAGGUUGCACGGGUCGCCCAAGACGACUGUGGACCUACUGAUGGCUAUAUGCCAUUUAUUUUACUGGCAGCUUUGCUGCAAUACUGUUUAAUGCUGCAACUGGUGCUAAUCUUGGUGUGUUUGGAUGGAUGGGUAGAUUUUAUCCCCCAUAUGGUGUGUUUGGCGGAACUGUAACACCCUUAACCUGAAUCCAUUCUGACAUUGUCUCACAAAAUUUAUUAUAUCUCAUAGUUUACAAUUUUAUUACUUACACCAUUUCUUCCAUGAGAAACUAGACUCAAUAAGUUUUAAUUCUAUAUUUUAUUCAUACUCUAAUUCGAUUUUCAUAAUUUAUGGUGAUUUUUCAAAGUGAGCCUACUGUUGUUGUCCAAAACUAUUUUAGUACAAGAUGUUUAUUACCAUGUUUAUAACACCCUUAUUUUCUUUCUCUACACUAUUUCUCAUCCCUUUCUCUUAUUUUCUCUUCACUUACAUAUUAAGAACAUAGGACCAUAUAUACAAAAAAACUUUACACUAACAUCAUUUCCAUACUUUUUCAAUAAUAUCAAACUUAAAAAUAUACUAAAAUCUUGAUGUACUUACCUUGUCAUAUUGAUUUUAAUCUUUAACUUGAUUUUCUCUCUCCUCCAGCUUCUAUUUCUUGAAUCUAACUUGAUAUUAUAGCUCCCCAUAGUCUCCUUGUAAUCUUUCUCUCUUGAUGGAUAUGGAAAUUCUUUUGAUUUCUAGAUGAAAAUAGUGAAUUUUUGGUGAAAGGACUAAAUUGUAAAGAAAGCAAAACUUUCUUUCUUCUCUUCUCCUCUUAACGUGAAUUGCAUGGAAAAGAUGGUGGGUUGGUUCCUUUUCAUCUUUCUUUCCACAUAUAUAUACUAAAUAAUAAAAUAAUAAAAUAUCAUUUAAAAAUCAAAUUAAAAUACUAAUAAACUAAUAUUUAUUUGUUUAUUUAAUCUAAAAUAUCUCCAACAUCAUCAUUAUCUUCUAGAUUUCUCUCUCUUCUAAUUGACCAUUUUGCCCUUCAUGAUAUUUUAAAAUUCCAUCCUUGAGUCAUCACUUAAUUUCGUAAAAUUUCAAUUUAGUCCCUCAAAAUUCCUCACCUUUUUUCAAUUUAGUCCUAAUACAUCCAUUUUCCUUAGUUUCUAGAUCAUUCCACCCUUAAAAUAUUUACACCAUUGGUCCUUCAAUUUUUUCAUAUUUACACUUUAACCCCUCAAUUUUUGAGUAUUUACUCUUGGGCAACAAAAUUUUUACGAUUUAAUCCUUUCUUGAGGUAAUAUGUCAUAAUAUACUUCCCAAUGUUGACAUAACUCCAAAAUUCCCUUUUUUGUCGCUUUAUUUCCUUAUUUUUUUAUAUCAAAGAUAAUAUCUUACUGUAAAAAUUUUUUUGGGGGGUAUUACAUUUCUCUCCCCCUCAAAAUAAAUUUCGUCCUCGAAAUUUCCUUAUUUUCUUUUGAUCAUGAACUUAUUUUUUCUUUAAUUCUAUAGUUCAUUUUUUUUGCAUAUAUUUACUUAGCUUAUCAUUUGUGUCUAUUCUUUAUUCUUUCAUUUCACAAUUUAUUUUUAAUUUAAUAUUUCAAACAUGAAUCAGAGAUAAACUUUUACCUUGUAACUAAAAUUAUUUACCUUUUUACCUGAGGCCCAGUGGACUAAAUAGAACACGUAGGAUAUAUGAAAUUGAUACAGAAGUGCUCUGUUAUACAUCAUUAAACAGAGAGCACUAAAGUGUUAUACGGGAGCAUAAAUGUGCUAAUAAUUGGAGAGCACUAGCGUGCUAUUAAUCAGAGAGUGCGCUAAGGUUCCUUAAUGAUAUACUACUAAUAUCCUAAUAGUUCUAAUCUCAUCUACUUGGGCAAAUUAUAUCAUGCAUGCAUACGACUUUUACACUUUGCGCAUAAUGCUUUUACAUACUUUACAAUUUAAACCUUGUACCAAUGAUUCGUAUAUUUAUACCUUCUCUACCUUUAAUACAUGUAAUAUAUUUCAAAAUUCACUAAUAAUCCAUAUAUAUCAUGUACUUCAUAUAUCAUUUUUACAUAUUAUGCAAUUUAGUCAUCAGCGCAAUAUUUCUUGUAGCAAUAUGUUUUUCUUUUAAUGACACAUAUAACAUUCAUCAUCGACAUGUAUUAUAAAACAUUUAUUCAUACUUUCAUGAGUUCCAAUUCAUCCUAAUCAAUUUUUUUUACUCAUAUACUUGAGUAUCACUUUCAACAUUAUCAGAAUUAGCUCGGUUAGGAAAACAUCUCUGUUUAUAAGUAAAACAAUUCUCAUCAGACUCGAGAGAUAUCACACUAUCACAGGUUACAUAAUGGCAUGCAUUUCUAGACUUCACAUAAGCUACGUUUGGUCCAAGAACCGACUAAAUCGUAGCUCUGAUACCAAUAAAUGUAACACUCUUAACCCGAAUCCAUUCUGACAUUGUCUCACAAAAUUUAUUAUAUCUCAUAGUUUACAAUUCUAUUACUUACACCAUUUCUUCCAUGAGAAACUAGACUCAAUAAGCUUUAAUUCUAUAUUUUAUUCAUACUCUAAUUCGAUUUUCAUAAUUUAUGGUGAUUUUUCAAAGUGAGCCUACUGUUGCUGUCCAAAACUAUUUUAGUACAAGAUGUUUAUUACCAUGUUUAUAACACCCUUAUUUUCUUUCGCUACACUAUUUCUCAUCCCUUUCUCUUAUUUUCUGUUCACUAACGUAUUAAGAACAUAGGACCAUAUAUACAAAAACUUUACAUUAACAUCAUUUCCAUACUUUUUCAAUAAUAUCAAACUUAAAAAUAUACUAAAAUCUUGAUGUACUUACCUUGUCAUAUUGAUUUCAAUCUUUAACUUGAUUUUCUCUCUCCUCCAGCUUCUAUUUCUUGAAUCUAACUUGAUAUUAUAGCUCCCCAUAGUCUCCUUGUAAUCUUUCUCUCUUGAUGGAUAUGGAAAUUCUUUUGAUUUCUAGAUGAAAAUAGUGAAUUUUUGGUGGAAGGACUAAAUUGUAAAGAAAGCAAAACUUUCUUUCUUUUCUCCUCUUAACGUGAAUUGCAUGGAAAAGAUGGUAGGUUGGUUCCUUUUCAUCUUUCUUUCCACAUAUAUAUACUAAAUAAUAAAAUAAUAAAAUAUCAUUUAAAAAUCAAAUUAAAAUACUAAUAAACUAAUAUUUAUUUAUUUAUUUAAUCUAAAAUAUCUCCAACAUCAUCAUUAUCUUCUAGAUUUCUCUCUCUUCUAAUUGACCAUUUUGCCCUUCAUGAUAUUUUAAAAUUCCAUCCUUGAGUCAUCACUUAAUUUCGUAAAAUUGCAAUUUAGUCCCUCAAAAUUCUUCACCUUUUUUCAAUUUAGUCCUAAUACAUCCAUUUUCCUUAGUUUCUAUAUCAUCCCACCCUUAAAGUAUUUACACCAUUGGUCCUUCAACUUUUUCAUAUUUACACUUUAACCCCUCAAUUUUUGAGUAUUUACUCUUGGGCAACAAAAUUUUUACGAUUUAAUCAUUUCUUGAGGUAAUAUGUCAUAAUAUACUUCCCAAUGUUGACAUAACUCCAAAAUUUCCCUUUUUGUCGCUUUAUUUCCUUAUUUUUUUAUAUCAAAGAUAAUAUCUUAGUGUAAAAAAAAAUUUUUUGGGUAUUACAGGAACAGAGUGGUGUGUAGAGGCUGGAUUGGGUAGGAUUUCUAACUGCAUAUCUACACUAAUUAAUGAUUUUGUAUUGUUACUACAUCGAUUAAUGAUAUUACAUACUGUUUACUGCAUGACUGAUAUUUGUUGCUGUUAUGGGCCAAGGCCCCACUGAUACUAUUACUGAAAUUGGGCAAAUGCCCUAUUGAUUAUUGGUAUUGUGAUGGGCUCAAGCCCAAUCGUUUAAUGUUACGGGAAAGGGCUUAGGCCCACACUGAACUGGACUGUUACUAUAACAGGCUCAGGCCCAAACUGUAUUUAUCUAUUGUUUAAUUGACUACUUACUUGUUAGGGGAUUGCACACUGAGUUUUCGUAAACUCAACCCGUUGUUUAACUGUACAGGUAAUCCCUAGUUGUAGUAGGGUCAGUGCUGCGAGGGACUCGAUGAUGGCCACACAACUGCAUCAGCUUUUGUUUUUAGCCUUUGAUUUAUAAGAAACUGAAUUUGGGUAUUUUUAUGUAAAAAGGCCUCUUUAAAGUUAUAAACUUUAAAUUGGGGUUUUUAUUUAUUUAGUUUGAUAUAAACUACUAGUUGUAGAAAAAGACGGGUUUUCAAAAGGUAAAUGUUUUCAAAGUUUCAAAAGGUAAAUGUUUUCAAAGACACCACGUUUUCGCAACAUUUCUAAAAAAAAACUUCCGCAAUGAAUGAGAUUUUGGAAAAUUUAUAACGUUUUAAAAGUGAUUAGCUUUUAAUGAUGCAUGCUUGGAAAUGAACAACCCGUUUUGGAAUCAUAGUUUAACAGCAAAAUGAUUAAUUGAUUUUAAAGAUUUCAACGACAACAAGUUUUACGCUAAACACCUUAAAGUGACACCGCCAGAUUCAACCAUAACUCCUAGGCCGGGUUUGGGGUGUUACAAUGUGUUUCAACCCUAUUAUUAGAAACUGAUACCCUAUUAUUAGAAACUGAUAAUGGAAACACAACUUUUAAUUAGAAACCUCUAAUUUUAAAAUUCAAUAGGUAAAAGCAAGUUAUCGUUAAGUGCCUGUGAUACGCUAGUAAAACUCAUUCUAGAAAAAAAAGUUUAAUGGAAACAAUUGUUAUCCAUUGCGUAUAGAGGAUGAAUUUGAAUACUAUUAAUUAAGUUCAUUGUUUAUUGUUUAAAUGUCUAAAGUAAGGGAGACAUUAAAAGAACUCUACCUUUAUAAACAUAAGAAGUGGUGCCACUUCAACAAGUAAAGGUAGGGUCUCUCUUGUAAAUGUUUAUUAUGAACAAGAUAAGCACAUGAUCAUUUUAGUGCUAAAAGUGAACAACCUCUGAUAGAAAUAUAAACGAAUAUUAUGUAUAGUGUAUUUCAACUUCUAAUACUAGGAGUUGUGGUUCAAUCUUCGGACACCGACAACUUAUUAAAACUUUGAAAAGCAUCCGCUUAUUGAUGGUUCAUAUUGAGAGGUAUCAUCUUUAAUGCAUAAUAUUUGUUUGAGUGAAUGACCAUAAAGUAUGGUACCAACAUUUAAACUAAGGGUGAUUGUUAGUAGUUUAUAAUUUUGGCAGUAAAAAUAUUUUAUUAUGUAGAAAAGUCUAAUAAAUUAUAAUUAUUGGUCAAAUAGUUGUGUUGUAAAGACAAUUUUUGUAUGUAAAGUUGUCUUAUAAACUUUAUGUAAAGUUGUGUUGUAAAACAACAAAAUUAUAUGAAAAUGUAUCUUAUUAAAAGAUACAUCCAUAUGAAAGGGUAUCUCAUGAAAAGAUACACCUAUUAGAUGUCUAUAUAAAAGAUUUUUCUGUUAGUUAUUUAAAUUGUUUUGCUUGGAGUGUUGAGGGCUUUGUUGUAUCUUGAAGGUAUUUUAAAAUCUUAAAGAAAGUGCUCUACACACCUUAAAGUCAUUAUAUUUUAUAACAUUAUUUUAUUUUUCUAACUUUUAUUUUCCUAUUAUUUAUUUUUCUAACAGCUAGAAUAUAGGAAAAUUAUUAUGUUUCUAGCUAUAUAUUGAAUACAAGUAUGUUGGUGUUUAGAACUCGAACUUUGAUGGUUGAUCGAGAGAUUUGAAGCAGAAAGAAGAGACGGGAAGUUUUAAGUAGAAAAAUAAUUGAAGACUGGAAUAUAUAAUUGAUUUGCACCUCAACUAUUUAAAUACAAAAGUUCAAGCUAAAAAUAGAAAAAAAAAGUUCUAAAAAUCUGCUAAAAAUCUGGUAACAAAAUAGCAAACAAAUCAAAAAUCUAAUCUCCUAAAGUCAAGGAGAAUUAUUCAAACUUAGUAACAGAAAAAAUUUAAAUGGCAGCAAUCUUAAACACAUGAUCUUAACACUCCUCCUUGUUUAGAUGCUACAAACUCCAAGUUUCUUCCUGAAGCUUUCAAACUUGCUAAGUGGCAAUGGUUUGGUGAAGAUAUCUGCAAUUUGAUCUUCAGAUUUGUAGUAACAAAGAGACACAUCACCACUCUUUUAAACUUCUCGAACAAAAAAUAACUUGAUGUUAAAAUGCUUAGUCUUCCCAUGAAAGACUGGAUUGUUAGAGAUUGCAAUGGCAGCCUGGUUAUCAACUAGAAUCUUUGUGCUUUGCUUCUACUCCAUGUUUAGAUCAACAAGAAUCUUCCUUAACCAGAGAGCUUGGUUAACUGUUGCUGUUGCAGCCAUAAAUUCUGCCUCAACAGUGGAUUGAGCUACAGUUUCUUGCUUCUUCGAGCUCCAAGAGAACAUGCCUGAUCCAAGGCAAAAACAAUAACCAGAGGUACUCUUCAUAUCAUCAGUUAAGCCACCCCAAUCACUGUUAGAGAAACCAAUCAACUUCAAUUCCCUAUGCUUUAAAAACUUUACUCCAUAAUUCCAGGUCCCCUUGAUGUAUCUGAUAACUCUUUUUGCAGCUCUCAUGUGAGUCUCAUUGGGACAAUGCAUGAAUCUGGAGAGAAUACUUACAGCAUUCAAGAUGUCGAGUCUGGUUGUUGUUAAGUACAUUAGACAACCUACCAAACUCCUGAACUCAGCUUCAAUGACUUUGGCAGAACCAUCAUCUUUGAUUAGCUUCUCUUUUUGAUUCAUAGGAGUACUCAUUGCUUUGCAAUCUUCCAUAUGGAAUUUUCUAAGUAUCUCCUUUGCAUACUUUCUUUGACAGAUGAACACUUCAUCUUGGCUUUAUUUGAUCUCAAUGCCAAGGAAAUAAGACAUCAGAUCAAGGUCUGUCAUUUCGAAGACAUUAUGCAUUUCCAAUUUAAACUGAUUAACUUGAUCGAUAUUGCUCCUUGUAAUCAAUAAGUACAAAUAAGCAAGCUUUUUCCUUUGAUUUCCUUAUCUUCUUUUCUUUUUGUGCUUUAAUCUGUGCCACAGUAGGAUUUGCUGGAAGAGGUGGGACCUCGUAAUCCUCUUCUACAGGUUCCCAAAGAUCCAAAGCCUCUAUGUAAGUCUCCAUGCGAACUGCCUACAUCUGGUAAUUGUCUCCAUCGAAGACUGGUGGUGCAGCAACUGAAAAACUGGACCCUCCUUCCAUAUUAACACGCAAAUAACCUAACAAAUCCCUCAAGAAAAUAGCUCUGAUACCAAUUUGUUGGUGUUUAGAACUCGAACUUUGAUGGUUGAUCGAGAGAUUUGAAGCAGAAAGAAGAGACGGGAAGUUUUAAGUAGAAAAAUAAUUGAAGACUGGAAUAUAUAAUUGAUUUGCACCUCAACUAUUUAAAUACAAAAGUUCAAGCUAAAAAUAGAAAAAAAAUGUUUUAAAAAUCUGCUAAAAAUCUGGUAACAAAAUAGCAAACAAAUAAAAAAUCUAAUCUCCUAAAAUCAAGAAGAAUUAUUCAAACUUAGUAACAGAAAAAAUUUAAAUGGCAGCAAUCUUAAACCCAUGAUCUUAACAAAGUACUACUUGGAAGCCAACACCCACAAACAUGAUAAAAGUUAAUUUUGAUGAGAGUUUUGACAUGGAAGCAAGAAAUGAGGAAGAGGGUAGUUAUGCAGCAUUGUGAUGAUUUUUUAGUCUGACUAUGCAACCAUCCAAUUUAGGGUGCAUUCUCCAUUGUGGUGAAAAAGCACUUAAAGAACAUUUGGUUUUUGCACUUAAAAUGUGAUGGAAAAAUGUUUUUCCACCCAAAUACAAAAACUAGGAUAUAAAUGUUUUUGACUUUUAGCUUUUAUGUUUGGAAGUGAAAAUUAUCAAAAUAUCAUUAUUUAUAUUAACUAUUUAAAUGGUAUAUAAAAAUUAGAUUAAUUUAUAUUUUAUAUAUCAUUAUAUUAAAUUAUUUAAAUAUUAUUUAUUAUUAUAUAUUUUAAUAAUUUAUAUAUCAUCUAUUUUACAAAUAAUUUAUAUUAAUUACUUAAAAAAUAUUUGGAACUUAUAUUUCAUGUAUCAUUAUAUUAAAUUAUUUAAAUAUCACAUAAUUUAACUAAUUUUUUACUUUCCACUAUCAUGUCUAAAGAAAAGGAUAUUUUAACUUUUAACAAGAAUUUUUUGUAGCAAUGGAGAACACCAAAAAUUAAUAAACACACUUUUUCAUAGUAAUUUUCAACCACACUUUUCAACCGCAACCCUAAUGAAGAAUUAAUCCUUACUAAAGUUACCGAAGCACUAGCUUCCACCGUAGCCAUUGAAAUGGCGCUCCAAUUGGGAUUGCAACACAUUAUUAUUAAAGGAGAUGCUCUCCAAGUGGUUUCGGAGUUGAAGGAAGACAAAGGAGACCUACCAACAACCGGACCUUGAUAGCAAAGAGUUGAAUACUUGCUAAACAGGUUCAGCAAUGUAGGUUUCAACACAGGAAGAGGCAUGCUAAUGAGGUGGCACAUCAUCUGACCAAACAGGGCCUUAAUUGUUUUCCAUCUUUUGUUCAUAUGUUUGUUUUGAAAAGGUAAAACAAAUCCUCACCUAUUGAUGUUAGAACGGUUGAAUUGCUAAAAGCAUGCUGCAUGCAUAACCAUGCUUUAGGUUAGGCUUCAAAUUAAAUAAAUUUUAAAUUAUUUUUAUUUAAAUUUAAUUAUAAAAAUAAAUUAAUAUCAAUAGAAAAUUAUAUAAAAUUUUAAGAUAUUUUAUUUUUCAAUAAUAAAACGAAUCAUUCACCAAACCUAAUUCUUCAAUUUCUUUUUAAUUAGAUCACAACUCAAGCCAAGCUAACCAAUAAACACCCAAAAUCUACCAUCAUUUUCAUUUUCAUUUUUUUUUCUUUUGUGACAAAGUAGACAGAAGAUUCGGUUUGGAUAAGCUCUACGUUAUUAAGUCAAAAGCUGAAGUAAUUUUAAUCAUAAAUUGUUUUAUUUGUCUAUAAUGCAAAACAAUGACCCAGUUAGUACAAUAAAGCUUUAACUUUGUGGAACAUUUCAGUCCAAAAAAAAAAAAAAAAAGAAUUGUGGAAAUUUUAGAGCAGUUGACCAUUUCUUCGGAAUUAGUUUUCUCACUUCUUGUCCAUAUUCCAUGUAUAUUAUUUCAAGAAAUUAGGUUUAGAAAUUUGCAUAAUUCAACCAUUGAACUAAUAAAUAUUAAACAAAAAUUGGGUGGCAAAAAAAAUCUUAUUAAAAUCAUAUACUAUUACUAAAAUUUAUGAUUAAAUUAGUGUCACGAGUUAACGGGACAUUAACAAAUUAUAUUAUUUGAGGGUAUUUUAAUCUUUUUAUUAAAAAAGAUGAUGUCUCAAAUUAACUCACAAUCUAAUCUAAUUUUUCAUUUUAAUAUUGUAAAUAUUUCAUGUUUUAUUAUUAAUUUGUUUCAAAUUAUACAUUUCAUUAUUUAUUUUAUGUUAUUUUUAAACACAUCUGUAUUCUAAGUACCUAAUUUUCACUUAUGGGUAUCAGAGGCGAAUCUAGGGAGGCUGAUAGGGGUCUCGGUCCCCUUAAAAUAGAAAAUUAUUAUUUAAGCCAUUUAGAAAAUUUUAAAAUUUUAAAUUAGUAAAUGUAAAAUUACACUUUGACCCCUCUAAAAUUAUAAAAAUUUGAUUUAAUCCUUUAAAAAUUAUAAAGAUAUAAACUAUUAAAAAUAAAAAUUUCAUUUCGGCCCUGCCUAAAAAAUUUUUUUGACUUCACCCCUAAAGUAUGAUAGAGUUUCUAGUAUGAAUAAUUUUCUUUGGAAGUGUUAAACAAACAAAGGAGUUAAGUAAACAGUAGUUUUCAUACAGAAAUAUUCGGCGUUGAUGUUUCCCUUUCGAAUAAUUAAAUUAAGACUUAGGAAAAGGGAAAACAAUGAAAAAGAAACUAAAAUUGAGCUUAAUUUAUGGAGUUGGGUUAAAAUUUUAAUAUUUAAAUAUAAAAAUUCUAAUAAUUUGAUCUGGUCCGUUUCAUCUAGCAGACUAAUAAUAAAUCUUAAAACAUAUUAUAUUUUAAUUUAAAUAAAACCAAAACUAAUACACUUGACCUACAUCUACAUGUGAUCUAUGCUUCAUUUAAAUUAGUCUAAAUUAGACGAGAUCUUGAUUAGGAGUCAUUUAUUUAUAUUAUAAGUCCCUGAAACAUGCAAAACUUACAUUUAAAAAUUAAUAUUUUUACGUUGUUGUUAGAAUAUAGGGUUUGUUAAUGUUUUCGUGUGAAGUCAGCUGUUGACAUUACCAAUCAGAUAAUGAAAAGGAAACAUGGCAAUUAUUCCAUCCUAAUUGUCACCAAAUUAAGUUAAUCCAAAAAUUACCAAACGUUUAGUACUUCAAUGGUAGAGUCAGCUCUUUCUUCUAGUCUAUCAAAAAAAGUCAAUUUAACCCCUAACUCUUGGAUGGAAAAGUUUUUGCUAUGAACUUGUUGAAGUGAAUCUCAUGUGAUAUAAACGCAUCGCAAUCUCCGUGUGUAACUAAAAAUAUUUGAGAGAUUGAAUAAUUUAAAGGGGAAAAAAAAAGAAUUUACUCCCUCCACUAACAAAUUACUCUUGCCAACGUAUGUAUGAAAGUAAACACCUUUAAUUAAUCAACAAAUGCUAAAGUUCGAGGUUUAGAAUUAAUUAAAUACCAAUAUAAAUAGUUAAUUACUUUUUUGAAAUAAGGAUAAAUCAGUUUGUGAGGUUUGAAUUUUUUGUAUCUUAACAAUUGUUCUGACUUUAGAGUUUGAAGGUUUUUUUUUUAUCCAAAUUAACCUAUGAACUUAGUAAUUUGUCUCUCAUUAAGGUUUAAAUUUUUUAUUUAUCUAAGUUAAUUCUUAAAAAUCUUGAAAUUCGAGAAUAAUUGUCAAGUUAAAAAAAUUUAGAUUUCAAUAUGAGAAUAAUCUACUAGUUCGUAACCUUAAUAUAAAAACAAUUGUUAAGUUGAAAACUUAAUUUAAAAACAAAUUCAAACCCUUCUUAAGUUUACGAUUUAACCCUUUGAAAUAUUGCGUUAACUAGUAAGAGUAAGAAUUAUUUUGUGUUGAUGAUUAAAUAAAUAUUUAAGUGGAGAUCAAGUUUUACCUCAUUUGUCAAUUGUCAGGUGAAGAAUAUAUACCCCUAAAGGCCUAUCAAAAACGGACCUAUCUCUAUCUAUAUAUCUUAACUAAUUUACUAUUCAUUUUUAAUGAAAAUCAAUAAAUCAAUGAAAACGUUAUAAAAAGAAAACUACGUGAAUAAAUUAUAUGUGUAAAAUUGAAAUAUUUCUUAUUUUAGUACAAUGGUAAGGAACAUUACAUUUUUAAGGAAAUGAUGUCAGGUUCAAACCUUAAAGAUAAUAUUCUUCUUCUUGAGAAGAACAAUCCCAAACUCCAAAAUGAACCCUUAUGAAUUAUAUAAAAAAAUUUUGAAAUAUUUCUAUAAAAUAUCAUUAAAGUUUUUUAUUUAAAAAAUGUUAUGGGUAUACUUUUACCUCUUGUAAAAAAGUCUUUCAUUUCUCAAUUCUUAUGGCAUAGUAAAUUUAUCAUUAAUUUUCAUCUUUAGGUAAAAAAAAUGGUUAUUAUUUGUGUAUUAAAUAAUUGUUAGGAUAAAUUUUAAAAUUGUAUAUGAAUUUUGGUUUAAUGUUAAUUAUAUACAUUAAUUUUAAUUUUAUGUAAUUUUAUAAAUGAAAUUUUAAUUUGAUCCAAUUCUAACAAAUUAUUAACACAGUUAUUGAUAUAACAUCAUUUUAUGUUUAUAUGCUAUAUACAGAAAUAAUUAUGUUUAUUCAAUAUAAAAAUAAAUUGAUGUAUUUAUUUCUUUAAACAUAUAUGAUUGAAUCAAAAUUAAAACAUCGUGUAUAUAUUUGAACCACAAUUAAAAUUUUACAUAUAAAAUUACAUAAAAUUACAAUUUAUAUACGUAAUAAACUAAAAUUCAUAUAUAAUUUUAAGAUUUAUGUCCACAAUUCUCUAAAGCUAAACGGUGAUGAUUACCAUGGAAAUUCAAUGUACUUAACUAAUUGGUUGAUAGGAACAGGCAUGAUGAAAUCCAUGAUGGGAAGAGAGAGAAUUCAAAAACUGGAAUGCCCCCAUUAAUCCAUGCAAAUAAACUUUUUCGGUAUUACAUCAUAAUUCAUUUAAUUUUAUCAUCAUCUCUAUGCCAUAACCAUGUUUAAAGUAAAAUACUUAUAUAAAUUGAGACAUUAAUAGUUUGUAUUAUAUAAAUUAUGACAUCCAUAUAUCCAUAUUAUAAUUUUUAUGAAAAAUUAGAGCUGGCAGAUAAAAAAUGGCUUACUGAUCAAUGAAAAAUAAACUUUAUUUCUUGUAAAUUGACUUAUCCUUUUAAAAAGUAUAAAUAUUUUUUUAAAAUUCAUUUAUGAGUAAUUUUAUUAUUAUAAAAAUUAAUUUUGCAAAGUCUAAUAUUAUUAUAUUAAUAAUUUUAUUUUAAAACUAUUUAAAAAUACUAAUAUCAAAUAUUAUAAUGUUGAAUCCUAGUAACAUACAUAUUAAAUUAUUUAAAUUAUGUAAUAUUGCAAUUUUAUUUUAAUACUAAAUUUUAACAACAAUAAUUUUAAAUUUUAGAUCAUAUUUUUAAUAUAUUAUUGAAAAAUAUUUAUAUUAAUAUUUUAAUAAUAAAUAUAUAUAUUAAAAUUUAUAAAUAUUUAAUAAUAAAUGUUUUAUAGUAUAAAAUAUGAAUAUUUUAAUUAUAUAGAUAUGAGCAUUUGUUUAAAUCAUGUUUAGUUUCAUUUAUCUCCCAACUAUAAUGUGUUAUUAUACACCGUCAUAUAUAUAAUAUAUGUAAUUUAAGCAUUGUUUAUUAUUAAAUUUAUAUAUGAUAUUAAUUAUUAUAAAAUAUUAUCUUAUUAUAAAAGAAAUUCUAAUUAUCAAAAAGAAAUGUUACUUUAAUAUUUUGUAACAAGUAUAUUUAUGUUGGGCUUGUUUCAAUAAUAACUUUAAAAUGAUUUUAGAAAAAAAAUUGUCAAAUAAUAAAAAAAUAUUUUAAGCAAAAUAAUUCAAACACAAAAAACUAUCAACUUUUCCAUAAAAUCAAUCCAAUUUUAAGAAAACAUUUUGUGAAAAUUGUUUUAGGUAAAACAAAAGGAACCUAUAUUUUAUAUAGUAUUUGAAAAGUUGUUGUAUCUAGAAUUAUUAUCUUAAAUAUUUUUUUAGGUCUAAUUUUAAAUUUCAUCCCUUUAUGAAAAUUGAGAAGUUAAAUUUUCUAUUUUACUUUAUCAGUCUGUGCUUGAUUGUUUAUUAAUUUGUCGUGUAUAAAUGGUUAAAUUAUUGAUUUUUGUUAAUUACUAGCAUGUAAAUUGUCAAACUACUUGUUCUCAAGGGAACGGUAAAGUUUAAUAGUAUUAUCAAUUUAGAACAAUUUUUGAGUUUUUUCUUUUAUUUUUCAUGUUCGAGUCCAUAAUUACUCCUUCUAAUAAUGUCGUCUUUAAAGUUUGAGUUCGAAUUCAAAUUCUCUUUUUGGAAGUACAAUAUGCCUUAUAAUUAUACCUAAUACUUUUGAUUUUUGUAAAAUAUAAGAAUCAAAAUUGUGUAGUAGGAUUAAUUUCUAGAUUUUUUAAAUUUAAAAUUUAUAAUAUUAUCAAUCGCAUCACACACAAAACCAAAGAACAAGAGAAUCUAAAAAACACGUGGACCAUUAAUUUAGGAAUGGACAUUAUAUUUUAUUAGUGGAAUAAACUCAUGCAAAAUGGUUGGAAAACACAUACAGGAUUAUAUAUACUAAUCAUUUUUAUUAUUAAGCAGAAUCGGAAAUAAAUAAAUACGAGCGAAACCACUGAAUAAUACAGCAUUGAAAUGCAAUUUGUCUACAUCAUUAUUGUUCUUCACUUCAAACGCGGAGACUAGUCUAGGCUCCCAAUCUUUUGCUUUAUCUCUCUAGAUAUAUCCUUUUCAAACUAUCUUUUUGUAGCUUUAUUUGCAUCACAGCAUUAUCUUUUCCUGCAAACAACUGUUCAAUGAUUAAAACAUGCAAAACAUUCUGAAAUAAUGCACCCUUACCAGAUGACAAAAAAAAAAAAAGAUUCUAAUGUAUCUUACCUUGGAUUGGAGCACGGUCAAAGCCGUGGCUUAGUAGUGGUGAGGAGGAGGGGGUGAAGCGUAGACAUAAUGGGGUGGUGGUGGUGGAGGAGACUUGUAUUUGUAAACUGGAGGAGGAGGUGGUGGAGACUUGUACUUGUAAGGGUGCUUGGGGGGUGAUGGUGGGGGUGGUGGGGGUGACUUGUACUUGUAGGGGUGCUUGGGUGGUGACGGUGGGGGUGGGGACUUGUACUUGUAAGGAUGCUUGGGGGGUGAUGGUGGUGGUGGUGGAGGUGACUUGUACUUGUAGGGGUGCUUGGGUGGUGACGGUGGGGGUGGGGACUUGUACUUGUAAGGGUGCUUGGGUGGUGACGGUGGUGGUGGUGGGGGGGACUUGUACUUGUAGGGAUGCUUUGGUGGGGAUGGUGGUGGUGGUGGUGGGGACUUGUACUUGUAGGGAUGCUUAGGUGGUGAUGGUGGUGGUGGUGGAGACUUGUAUUUGUAAGGAUGCUUUGGUGGUGAUGGUGGUGGAGGUGGUGGGGACUUGUACUUGUAAGGGUGCUUGGGUGGUGAUGGAGGUGGAGGUGGUGGAGACUUAUACUUGUAAACUGGAGGUGGUGGGGGUGGAGACUUGUACUUGUAAGGGUGCUUGGGUGGUGACGGAGGUGGAGGUGGUGGAGACUUAUACUUGUAAACUGGAGGUGGUGGGGGUGGAGACUUGUACUUGUAAGGGUGCUUGGGUGGUGAUGGUGGGGGUGGGGGUGGCGACUUGUACUUGUAGGGGUGUUUAGGUGGUGAUGGUGGUGGUGGUGGUGGUGGUGGGGACUUGUACUUGUAAGGAUGCUUGGGUGGUGAUGGUGGUGGAGGAGACUUGUACUUGUAAGGAUGCUUGGGUGGUGAUGGUGGUGGAGGUGGUGGAGACUUAUACUUGUAAACAGGAGUUGGUGGGGGAGGAGAUUUGUACUUGUAAGGUUUCUUGUGUG